GGGGGGCCUGUUUCCCCACUUCAUUGCUAUAAUAACCAGUUACAUCCGAAACCCAGCCAGGUUGUUGUUACUUGUUAUUGCUUUUAUCUGUAUUGUCUACGUUUUUGGGCAUGGACCCAAUUGAUAAGGAAGAUGAUCUGAUCUGACGAAACAAGUGUGACACCUAUGUCUCAACAAAUUUUUUAUGCUAAUUUCACUAAAACAUGACUUGAUUCCAAAACUGCCAGCUUAAAAGAAGAGGAUGUUCUGGUUCAUGGUCCCCUCCAAUCCAAGCAAAGCAUCAAGACCAGCUUCCCCACGGGCUGUCAUUUGAGAAUGGACAAAUCAAAACUUAUGAAGCUUCGGGAUCUGUUAUGUUCAAUUUCACAACUUUCUGCCAUGUGGUCUCUCUCUCAAUCGCUGUGUACAUGUUACAUGUUACCUUCAGACCUUCACUUGCUUCCCCAACAGCUUGUACUGUACGUAGGGUUACUUGGCUUGUUUUGAGGGUGGGUCUGCAGUCUCCAAUUAUUCUAGCUAUAUGUAGAAGCCACCACUUGCAUUAUCUUAUCCCUUUAAACCCAUGGUGUAGCUAUGGAUUAUGACUUGAUCAUCCACAUGAUUGUCUUACUUCUCUAUAGACAUGAAUAAAGUUAUUCUCUCAUACCCGUUGCAUCAACUCAUAAAUCUCAUACACAACAACAAAGUGUUGGCGAACCCCCUCCUCAUGACAUAAUCAAAUCAACCGUACGAUUGGAGUGAAGCUGCACAUGUACUCUACAAUAAUCUUUCUCCUGAACUAUUUUAAGACCAAUCACAACCACACUUAACUCUACUCAAGUGAUCGAACACACCCAAGCACAUGCUAUAAGCCGUAAGAACACGGCCAUUUGCUUGAUGGAAAGUUCAAACUCAUGCUUUCUUAAGCGUUCAAAUAGACAGUGGCUGCUUUAUAGUAUCCCUCCAUAUAGAAUUAGAUUAAACUCUGAACAUAAACGUUAGGCUACAACAAAAUGGAUGUAUUUCCCUUCCAAGUUACAAAGGAAACAACACCAACCCUCUCCCAGAAAAUACACUUCUCCAAGAAACCAUACCCAGUUCUUAUAGUUGGAGUUUACAAGAGCCUAGCUGAUGAAUCAACAUCCAGUCCAGUAAUUCUUUGGUCUGGUCCGGUCCUCACAAGAAGCUAGUCAUUCGAGUUUACCUCCUCCCCAUGCAAGAAAGCUGUCCUGCGAUCCAAAGUCCUAUACACAACAAUUAACCAAACUCAGACAGACAAAAAAACAUUAUCAACGACUGUGAACAGAUUGCUAAUAGAUACUGUAUGAAUCAACAUACAAUCUGGCUAAGUCUGAACUCUGGAGGUGUAUCGAGUUCUAUAUUAGCAGGGUCAAGGACCAGAGUUUGGCAUUCCUCCAGAUCUUUCUUCAAAUCUGCUGCACCUAGCUUUGCAUACUGGGAAGAAAGAUCAGAUUUCUCAUCUGGGAUUGGAUCUCCAUUCCCAUCUCUACUAGGAGACUGACUCCGAAGGAACUCUUCACACAAUGAUAAUCCUUCAACCAUUUGUUGCGAAUCCAACAAGUUUUGGGACUCGCUAUCCCACCAUUUUGUAUCUUCUGCAACACACUCUUGGUUGUUCUCACAAACCGGCUGAAUCGCAUCUUCUGGACAUUCAAGCUCGGUAUUCUUCAAAGAAACAUAAGGAAAAGGUGAAGAUAUAUCAAUAACUACUCAAGUAAUAAGUAUCAAAUCAGAAAUGUAGUAGAACUAACCUGGACAGGAGGAUCAGCUGCUAUAAUAACAUUGUUAGAGUCUAUCUCCAGGUCAAAAUCAGAGGAAUGCCUUUCAAUGCGAGGAGGGUCAGGUGUGACAGACAUGGGGCUAAUAGGAUCGAUGUUUUCAGGUAACUCUUCUCCAACUUUAUCCCCCUUAUUAGCUUGUUGUUGUUGCUGCUGGUAGAAUAUCUUUGAAACUACAAAUUCCCCAUCUUUCUCGUCUUCACUCGUUCCAAGGUGAUACUGAUGCAUUACCCAGCUAGUUUUCUCUGAUUUACCCAUAUAAAGCACCAUUAUUUUUUUGCAACCUCUCUGCACACCAUCCAAGACCACUGGCUUAGUCCUUCCAGUUUUGUGCCAACGGACAUCGCCAGAAUCAUCACCUUGAAUCUUCCGGCGCUUUCGAGUUCCUGUAUUGUAAGCUUUGAUUGCCCUAUGAAAGAAGUGGCAAGAAUUUCCAUCUUGUUUAACACCUGAAGGGACCAGAAAACAGUGAAGCUUAAACAAAGUGUAACUGAAUGUCUAUCGAUAUUCAUGAAAGUUAAACUCUUUAGUUUACCAACCAGGAAGAUUCUUGGGAUGAGUAUAACAGAUUCCAUCACCAUUAUCAACAGUUGGUACAAACUCUUCAAUGAACGGGUGGGGUUUUUGACCGCCAAAUCCAUUUUUCGCAAGUAAAUGCCAAAUAAUUUCCGGGUUAGUUGGAUCAAACUUUACCCCCCUGGGCAACCCCGGCCAUGCUUGGACAGCCUGUAUCAAAAAGAGUGAUCUUGCUCAAUAAGGAUGAUCAAUUUUCCAAACCUAAACCAUAAACCAUUGCAUGUACAAACAUUUUUUGUCACGGUACAUUGUUGAAAUUUGCAUAAAAGUAAUUGGAAGAAGUGAGAGAAGCUUUACAUCACUGUUGUCGAUAAUGUGCUGGCAAUUUGGACAAGCUUUAGUUGGAUUGCUCUCCCAUUUCACCCUUUCAGGAUCAGAUGCACUCUUGAUUUUAGUUGCUAUUCUGUUACCAUCCACCAGCCACGAUGCACUGCACAGAUCAUAAGCCGAUUAGCCUAAAAUGGUCAGUUCUUGCCAGGAAAUGGUAAGAGUACAACAAUUAUCCGGAAAGGAUAACAGCAAAGUAAACUAAGAAGUAUUACAGCAGAGCAACUUCUCCACAUGUUAAGAAAAUAGCGGACACAAACCUCAGGAAAUAAAAUAUAAGCAACUCCUAAGUUCUCAUGGCUUGCGGAAUUCACAUUGUAAUCGUCCUUUUACUUAACAAGCAUCGUUGUUUCCAUAAAUGUUUGACAAUCAUAGUUUUAACUUUGAUAUUACUGUCAAUUCAAGAGGCUGGGAAGAGGAGCUGUCGUGACGUGAGUCAUCAUGCAUAGAAGCCUAAUACUAAGUGAAACCGCACAAGAGUUUAUCUUUGCAUCAGCAAUCAAACUUAGAUGCAACGUGAAGCCUGCGGAUAGAAUGCCCUACUUCAAGUGACCAUUUGCGCAAAAUCACUAAAGUAAGCAGAAACCAAGCAACAAUCCCAACACUAACAGCAGACAACCUACAUAUCAGGGUUUACUUUAGACCAACAAAGGGUCUAGGGUGGGCAUGAAUGAACUUUGAGAACUUUUGAGCCGCAUCAUGAAAGGAAGGGUUCCGCAAGUAGAACAAAACGAUUAGCACCAACAUAAAAGCCGUAGCUUUUCUCCUACAGAUAUAGACAAACUCUAAGAAUAACAAGUAGACUAAAGGUCAAAGGACAUCAUUCGCACUUCAGACAAUAGGGUGAAGACAUAUGAGAUCACAUUUCUCCCCCAAACUGUAUUAUUUAGGGCUCCAGCAACCGAUAUAAUAGACUCCCUAAUAACUACUCACACCUCACCACAAACAAUGAAGAAACCCCAACUUAAAUUUCCUACAGAUCAGAAAUUGCUAGAAUCAAGUGAUGAACUGCUUGCUAAACAUGGUGCAAAAGGAAACCCAAAUUAUAUUAGAGGCCAGGCAUUCAGAAACAAAUCAAUACCAUGUAACAAACCCAAGAGUCAGCGAAAUGAAGCAAAACAUUUGCAAGCAGCAGAAAGAAAGCCCACAAUACUGAAAGGCAAUGUAAUUUUUGGCUCGAUCACAGUCCAACAAUGGAAGAGGCAAGAAGCAGGAGAGGGAACUGGUUACCGAGACAUGAAAAGGGCGGAGCUUUGACCGAAAGGUCAAAUCUUUGAUGACCGGUCGACAAUAUAUAGGGAAAAUCCCCUUCCAACAAUCCUGUAUCUCUACUGGGUUCUCGGAUAUUCGAUGCCGCGAUUGCGAAGCUGUCUACGAGCAGUAGUUUAACGGGAAACUUUAUUGGGUGGCGGAGUUGAGAUGAUGGGGGACAUUGGAGCACUUGAAGACUCGAAGUGAAGUGGAGGGAAUUCCUUUUUUGUCUUUUGUUUGUUCUUUUUCCGGUGCUUUAUUGUUUUUAGUCCAAAAGAAUUGACGCGCCAUUUCAAUAAUUGGUGGGAGUAAUUGCGUAGCCUGUGAAGUCCAAAGCCUUUUAUCCAAUCAACAACAUAAAAAGUCCAAUGCAGUCCCCCCCAAAGGGCCAUGUCCACCAUUGUUGCCCAUAUAGGCAAGUGAUUUGCGUCUUGUGAUAAAUCCAUAGAUGUAGCAAUAUAUUCAUAAUCAUUCAUGGCAAAUUGUGAAUGGGUUGGCUCUUGGGCAGUACGUAGACUAUUUGGUGGACAAGAACAUAUACAAAAAACUUAACUAUCCAUAAUCGGGAGUAAUCAUGCAAAUAAUUAGCAAUUCUUCUCCAGUUUAUUAUUACACUGUAACGCAUUACCCAUUACACUACAUAACGCUCGACUUUAGGCAAUUUAACAUAUGAGACUAACUUUUCAUUAAUUUUCCCGUUACAUUAUUGCCGGAAAGUAUACAAUCAGUAUGACAUGUUAGUAUGUCAUAUAGUGACAUUACAUGACUACUGACUUUCGAUUAGAUACCAUUCAUAAAUUAAUAAAAUAUAUUUACAAAUGGCUCAUUAACUCAGUUGAUUAGAAUGUUGUGCUAAUAACGCCAAAUUCAUAGAUUUGAGACCGGCCAUCUUUAUUUUAUACUUUAGGUUUUCACUUCCAUAAUCAAUGCUUGUAAUUAGGGUUUUAAGGCACUUAUUGGGUUAUUUCUUAAGACACAUGUUUGACAUGCCUUAAAUUUUAGGUUUUCGAUUCCGUAAUUUAUGUCUUGUAAUCGAUGUGUUUGAAAUUCUUGUUGGGUUAUUUUUCCUAAGGCACAUGUUUGGCAUGUCUUAUAAUGACGACACAUGAUUAUUGACUCAUCGAUUGAAGAUAUCUGAUGUUCAUUCUGAUUUUAAACUUUAACAUGCACAAGGCUUAGUCUAAAACCUAAACAUUUGUCGGAACAAAAUAAUGUACCCUCAGGUACAUACUUUUUGUAACAGGGUAGACAUACUUAUUGUACACAUUUUCACAUUCUUGUACACGUCUAUGUACGUACUACAUGUCAAACAAAUACGUGCAUGCUCAUACAUUUACAUAAAUUUUCUAGAUAAGUACACACCUAUUUACACACUUUUUCUAAACGAGUACACGAAAUUUGAUGGGCAAUGGAGGAGGUCCAACGACCGACAAGGGGACAAUGGAUUAUGGAAUGUAGCUGAGUUUAGAAUGGUGUUAUGUUGUCCUUUCAAUUUAAAUUGUUAAAUAAAAUUGAUUAGAUAACAAAUUUUAUCUAAUAUCAUCGAAUAAUUUCAAUUUUAAUGUCAAACUGAACUUGUUUAUCGCUCUCAUUUCACAAGAAAAACGGGGAAAACGGGAACCUAAACGAGGGUGGCAGGCCAGAUAGAAUUGUUCAUUCCCUUGUACCUACCACUAGUCAUGAGACCUUGUAAAAGGCAAACAUACUUUACUUGCAUUUUACCAUUAUGAUAAGAUUACAGGGACUAAUCUCACAAUUCUUUAUAGUUUACGAUGAAAUGCAAUGGAAAAUGCUAUUGAUUCGAGAGUUCUUUUUUAGAUUAAUCUAACUGUUUAUCCUCGAUUUAAAAUUAUUUUUGUCAAUUUUAAUUUGACAAUUGGAAUUUUAUUAGGGGUAUAACGGAAAUUUAAAAUAUUCUAUCUCUUUUAAUUUUUCUUUCUCUCUCCUCUCUCUACUCUUCUCACGUAAAUUGGAUAUAAUAAUGAUGUAAUAAUGAGUAACGUGGAUAUAAAAAUUUACAUAUGAAGUCGACAUAAUAAACCUAUUAAAAGGACAUAAUAAAAACGCAUAAGAGACUCGUAAAGUGUAUAUAUCACCGACAAAAAAGAGUGGUAAACCGGACAUAACAGUGAUGAAUUCAACUACUCGUAAGGUGGACGUAACAAUGACAUAACGAGCCUGUAAAAUGGUCGUACAAUGACCACACUUAUGUGAUUUUUUCAUAUUUUUUUGUUUCCAAACUACCUCCAUCAUUUUCAGCCGUUGGAUGAAAGCUGGCCCAAAAAUGACAUUGAUUCAACAAUUACGAUUUAUUAGAUUAACGUGACAGAAAUGUCUCUCAUAUCAAUAACCGCCUUGAUGAAACAGUAUAGGACCCUUGAAGAGGGACAACUAACCAAAGUGUUCAUCAUUCAUUUGAGAUCUUUGCUAGCUAGAUUUUUCUUGCAAGAGCAACAAAAGGCCAGACAGAAUGUACAGAUAAUGUCCACAGAAAAGAAGGCAUAACUUUUGGUCAUAUGGACUCGUAAAAGCCAACAUCAACAGAUGCAGCAGCAGAUGGGUUUUAUGGAAAAUUGUGAAAACGACAAUUCAUUCUAUAAAGGGUAUAUGCAUACAUCCAUAUAGCCUAGGGAUGGAUAGAAAAGCAAUGGAAUUCCUUGGUGUGACCAUGAUAAUACAUUGAGAUGAGUAGUAAAGGUUGAGGAGGGGGGAAUCUAUUUAGCUUUCAGAAGACCCCUCUUUUGCCGACACUUGUGUCAAAAAGUGAUGCUGCUCCGUCGCCGGCCGGUUUCUGCUCUGCUGCUAUGCGAACAUCAACUGCUAGAGAAGAAAAGCAGAGACGAAUCUUUAUAGCUAGCAUUAGCAUACAUGUGACCUUCUUACUUUUGCCAAUUGGGAGGGAGUUCAAAUGGAACCCCCCACCCAACAAUUGGUUUUUCAAGGGUGUUCCGUGACCACUGACUAGACCCUACUGGAAAUUGCAUUAUCAUUCUGGAAUAUUAAGAAUACUAACUUUGACUAUCAGUGUAGCAACCAGCUGAGCAACAAGGUUGGAUGGAGUGUUACAAUGAAUCCAAUUUGUCCGAAGCGUGUCUGUCCUAACGCCUCUAACAAUGUAGUCAGCGGCUCUAUUCAAUCUACGGAAAAUAUAAGAUAAGGAAAAAGCUAUGCAUAACAUUGUUAAGACCAUAUACCCUCGUCUCCUCUGAGGGUGUAGCAACACGAGACUAUAUGAUGUGAACCACGCCUUGAAUUGCGACUAAACCCAACAACAGUUUUGACACGAAACAUUUGAACUCGAAAUCUUCGAUAAGGGGCGGAAGCAAGAUAGAUAACCGGCCACGAACGAGAGUGAAUAUCUCGUCGAUACAAUUAGCGGUCUUCCAAGCAUGAAUCGGCACGCACUUAAACCAAUCAAUGAUCCUCCAAGUACAAAUCACCACGCACUCAAACAAAUCAAACGAGUAUAAAACUCAAACUCACAAACUCAAUUUUAUUCAUCUCAAUUGUCUAUCGAAUACAAUAACAACCAAACCUUUAUAUAGGCUUUGCAAACUUAACCCUUAAGUACAAUAAUAAUAAAUUAAUCCUUAAUUCUACAUAGAAACUUAAAUACUACUAAAUAAGCAUAUUUUAGUAUUCAACCCGUCCACUUUAAUUGAGAAUAUCUCAUUAUAUUCUUGGAAAUGAUGGCUCAUAAUAUAUGGAUGAAAAGGUAAUUGAAUUAUCUUUCCAACACUGUUGACCUUGUACCAAUUGAAGUCCUGACGAGAAAGUAAUGACCGAAAUACUAAACUGGACAGAAACUACACGGAUUUCUAUCAUGCCCUCCUUCUUAACAAUUCCAUUCGACCCUCCCAUAUCGAAAACAAGAUUGACGAAACCUCCAAUCUAUGCCUAUGAGCUUGCUCAUUGAUGAUCUUCCGUCGAAUAUCCCACACAACCUUCCAUUCAAUGUUCUUGGCAACCUCUUCUUAAACCAACAUCAUAAAUUUCUCAACCGUGAAAUUUUCAACAAUCUUCAAAUACAUAAUCCUCCAAAGGGGUUAUGGAGCUUUGGAUUGACUUCAGCAACGUUCGUUCCCUCCGGCCAGAUUUCUUUUUAGUACUUUAUAUUUUUCUCAAUUCCUAAUUUUUCGAGUCGCUUUCGUUUUUGUUUUUAGUGUCUUUUGUCGUUUUUGUUUGCCUUUUCGUUCUAAUUGUUAAUUCCGUGUCUAUGGCUUUAAAAGGGUUGUUAGGAGUUUAAGGAUGCGAAUUACAGUAACUAAUAAGGUUAAUUUCUCCUCCCUUGUUACCCGUUUGUGGGUAGCAUCUCUUAGAUUACCAGCUCAUAUGUUCUACGAAAACUGUUGCUAUCACUAGAUCACCGAUAUACUUGGCAGUUGCCACUCGAUUGAGUAUUGAUUUAUAAAUCUUAAUUGAUGUCAAAGAGUCUAUUUCACUAUUAUUCUUUAUCUUAUUUAUUACACAUAAGAAUAUAAGAUUUUACAAUAUAAAUUUAUAAUUAUUAUUCUACCCUAAUUGUUAAUUUCGUGUACGAUUUUGGCUGCCUUGCCAACAAGUCUCUUACGCAAAUAAUACAUCACAAUUUUUACUGAAUCGUAGCUUCCGGGGUUUGGGCCUGCCCGCCCCUAAGAUUGUUGUAAUAGGCCCAUAAAAGACUGUUGUUAUAGAAAGCCAAACUCCGGUUCAAAACGCACAGACAAUAGGUAUACGAAUGGAAUCCGUAUUGGUGAAGGAGAAGGAAGAAGUGGAAAACGUCAUGCUAGAGUGGGAUUGAUGUUAUAAUCCACUAACAGUAACACACACCAGAAUACAAAAGGUAGAGCAGACAUUCUUGUGGUGUCGUGUGGACAUAUAUAGUGGGGGGAGGGGAGGGGCUGUGGGCGGCUAUGGCUAUCAUCAAGGAGAAGUUUAGAAUGGAGAAGAAAAGAGUUUGGAUUUGAAAAGCAAGCAAAAGGAAGGAAAUGCGCCAACUGGGGGACCAAAAAGCAGCCAUGCGUGUGACCACAAAGUGUCCAAAAAGACAACCAGUACAACUCACUGCCAAAUCCAAUCGAUCCCUCCAAUAUUCACAUUUCUACCAACCAUAUGUGCACCAAUUAGUCAAGCUAAAAACCUUAAUGGGUUACAAGCAUUGACUGUCCACUGUCGAGCUAUCUAGCGGAAAUUGUAGGGCGAGGGGUUUGAAGUGGAGAUGUGAAGAAGCAUCAUGAUUUCAUGUCCUCCGUUGAAAACACAAAUUCAAGACAUCCAGACGACAACGAUAGGAAGGAUGGAUAUACAAUUGCCCCACACAAGUGUGAUUGUAUGUCCAUAUGUUUAAGUAAUGAUAUCAGUAAUGGUGUUUAUAUAUGUGGAGGCAUACAUUAUUACCAAUUGAUUAUGGGUUUUGUGACUGGACCCAAGAACUAAUAACGGAUUAAGUCCAACUGCCUCACGUCAAGAGUUCAGAAAGGAUCCGUCGACCAGAUCAUGAAAAGAAAAUUUAUUCUCCUUCAUGAUAGGACGGACACUAUUCACCUAUUCAUUAUAAACUUCAAAAAAGCAAACCCGGGUGUAAACAGAGAUGAUAAAAUUACUUAUAAUUUAACGUAAUUACUUAUUAUAUAUACUACUAACUAAUUACUAAACGCACUUCAUGAAAGAAUCAUUAUAUUGCUAGAGCCGGAGCAUGAGUACUGUGUAGUGCUGCGCCCACUCCUAGCUAGCUGGCGUUGAUUAGGCGUACGUACCAGAGUUUAAUUUAUGUACAGAUAAGAUUAAUAAAUUGAUGAACAGUUGAUUAUAAAUAUAUUUUAUUUAAUGAUAUGAACCAUGUCAAAAUGGUGAUAAAAAUCCGAUAAUUAUGUGUGGUACUAAAGAGAAAUAUUCUGAUGUCAACCUUUUAAAUUAACGUAUCUUCUUUGCAUUUUCAAAUUUACUAUCCAUAAAACCAUCUUUAAUGCAUAAUUUUAACGCUCUUUUAAUGUACAAAACUAAAAUUUGGUUUAAAUUUUUUUAUUUUGAAUCAUAUAUUUAGCUAAUUUAAAUCUCAAAUGAGCAAAUCAUAAUUUUUGCUAUUAGCUAUUGGUCGACACAUUUUCUUUUUAUUUAUUGUUCACAAAACGAUAAAUAGUGAAAUCACAACACAACAAAUGCUAAAUCGCCUCACGUGGAUAGAGCUACGCCCAAACCUUUUUGUACCCCUUUUUCUAAAACAAAUUAUAAACUUAUUACAACAGCUCUUAAUUUAGCCAUGCAUGUUGAUCGAACAAAUCCUUAAAUUCAUCAAAUACUCUACCAACAACUACCAUAAAAAAUCACAAAACAAGCCUUUUACACCUGCUUAGGAUUAAACAUACCCGCUUUCUAUUAUUUAAUUUGAAGCAAGAGGAUGCUAGAUACUGGUUUCAUUCUAGUAUGAGAGAGAGAGAGAGAGAGAGAGGUGAUGUUGCAAGACAGAAUGAUUACAUAUGGUGUUGAGAGGAGCAGAAAGGUUGGCGUGGAUGCAAACCCACCCCCAUAGGCCUGAGCCUGCAGACUCUCAUAGAGAGAGAGAGAUGAGAAUUGAGAGGUGGGGGCUUGCGUUUGACCACCCUAGCUAGGCACACCAUUUACAUUAUUAUAUUAUUAUAAUUAUUGAAGGAAACAGAGAAUGAUAAAGCUUGACCAGUAGUAGGAUUAAAAAGAAGGAUGAAUGAAGUCAUGAACCCUAGGUUGAGCAUUACCAAAACAAAAAAUCUAUGAACUGAUAUGCUUGGAACUGGAAGGUCUUACAUUUAUUAGCAGUUAGUAAUCUUAAGACUUUGGAAUAAUGCAGUAGUAAUUAGCAGUUAAUUGCAGUUGGUGGGUGGAGAAAGAGUGAUGAGCAAGGUGUAAUGUGCGGUGGUGGUGACUGCCUGCUUUGUGUUUUGUGUCAACACUCAACACCGCCCCACUAGGGCAUGCAUGUCAUGUCAUUAAGUACUCCAAUUCCAACAUUCGACCUUUGGUUUCCUUUUAAGUCCAAGGUAUAUAUCAGAGACGUCGACCCAGCAGAAUAUUAUCUCAGGACUCAUCAUCAUCAUCAUCAUUUAACUGUUCAACAUUUCGGACAUAGGUGGGAUUUGAAUUGGAGGAUAUAAAGGGACAGAGCAGCAGAAGCAACCUCCCCCAUCGCAAUCCACCUCUCUCUCUCUCUCCCUCCCAAUUCCUAAAUCCCAAAAAACGAUGGAGUACUACGACAACUGCACCGCCUUAUACGGCGGAAGCGGCGGCGGAGGAGCUGCAGAUUUCAUACUCCCGCACCCACCACCAUCGUCUUCAUGGGCUUCUACUCUCCCUCAUCAUCAUCAUCCGGGUAUGUUAGGUCAUCAAAAUUCCCUCCACUUUCCAUACCAAGCUGCUGGAACAUGGGAUGAUGAUGAUCGGCCUGCAGCAGAUCACCACCUCAGGAUAAUAUCCGAUUCCCCACUUGGCAGAUUCCCUAAUUACAUGAACAACAUAUUGAGGACGUCCACUACUGGAGAUGAUAUUCUCGAUGCAAAGGCACUCGCUGCCUCCAAGAACCACAGCGAGGCUGAGCGUCGCCGACGACACAGGAUCAAUACCCACCUCUCCAAUCUCCGCUCUUUGCUCCCCAACACUACCAAAGUAAGUCAUUAGUUAUAAUUGCGUGCCCUAAAGAUGAAUCCUUUCACAACACAAACUAGCUCCACCUGCUUAUAAUAAACGAAAUUGAAGAUGGAUGUUGUUGAAUUUUUUUGCCUUGUGGAAUUUACAGUUUGAAAUGAAACUCUGGCAGUUUGGUGUUCAAAAGCUUUCCUUCUUUUCCUGGGUUGCUUUUACUGUUCUUCGGGUUGCUAUAUUCCUUGGUUUGGUUUGGUUUUGGGUUGGAGUUGAUCAUCGGUCAGUAAGUUUUUAGAGUCCCAAGGCAGAGAAAAGUGAAAGAAUAUAAACAAGGCAUGAAAGAAAAGCGGCAAACUCGCAGGCUUUGAUACCAAAAAGAGGAACCAAAAAGCUCUUCCCUUUCUUGCCGGCGCUCCACCACUUCACAAUCAUAUACGCUUAGCUAGCUUCACUGCAUGCGUUAUUGUUCAAAUCUCAAUUUAUAUAUUUACAUUAAUUAAUAAUUAGUUGAAAUUAAUUUUAUGCAGACGGACAAGGCGUCGCUGCUGGCGGAAGUGAUCCAACACGUCAAAGACCUCAAAAGACAAACCUCUCAUCUCAUAGCCGAUGACGAAACCCUGCUUAUCAUCCCUACAGAGGACGAUGAUCUGACGGUGGAGGCUGACUCAGUCGACGAGGAGGGUAAUUUUGUCAUUAAGGCCACACUGUGCUGCCAAGACAGGCAUGACCUCCUCCCUGACCUCAUCGCCACCCUCAACUCCUUGCGCCUCCGUACCCUCAAGGCUGAGAUCACCACCUUAGCUGGCAGGGUCAAGCACGUCCUUUUCUUCACCUCCGCCGACCGCGACUACUACUCCUCGUCGAGUAAUAAUAACUCCGAUGACGAUGACAACCAGGAUAAUAGAGAUGAUCAGUGCUACUACCAACAGCCGCGGAUUCAACAACAAUAUUCCUUAAGCUCUAUCCACGAGGCGUUGAAGUCUGUCAUGGUUAAGGGCGGCGGCGGAAACGGCAACUCGUCUUCCGGUGGGAGUGUGAAACGGCAGCGUACUAAUAGGAAUAACAACAUCUAAUUAACAUGCACCCCACUACGACGUCGUAUCAGGUUUAAAAUGAAAGACUGUUUAAUUAACACACCAUCGGGUAAUUUAUUACUUAGCGUAUGUGAGGAACCUCAUUAUUUUUGGUUUAGAGGUUCAAUUUGUGUGGUGUGGUUCACUGGUUUGGGUUUUUUAUGGGUUGGGUAGGGUUGGGUUGGUUUGUGCAUUCUGGUUAAUCAGGGAUUAUGAAGAUGCAAUUAAUGAUUAUAUUAUAUAUUCGGGAACUGACUCUACUUGCUAAUCUGAACAUUAUAUAUAUAUGAACUUAAUUUCUGCUUAUAAUAAAAAUGUUGUGUUAUUAUGUACGUGGGUUCAAAUGAUGAGAGGAGAUCAGAGUUCAGAUGCAGAGAGAAGAAGAGGAAAUCUGAGUGAAUUUGUUUGUAUGUUCGUCGGUUAGUUCGCAAUGAAAUAAUUUCCGGGCAGUGCACCGGAAAACGACACUUACUGAUCAAUGGCUAAUAGUGCCGAAUAGUGCAGGAUGAUAUCUUUCUCUUAUGCUUUGUCGGUUACCCAGAAAAGGGUUCUAAUUAAUUAAUUUGAAGAAAAAUGGGGUUGAGAGGUAAUAAUAAUAAUGGGUCAGCAUGAGAUCAUGAUGAUCGUCAUGGUCUGAACACUGGCUAUUUUGUUCGGUUUCAUGCCCCUUUUUUAUUCUUUACUUCUUCUCUACUACACUACAGCUCGACGAAUUGUAAUCAUGUAAGUACGACCAGUCAUCAUUUUCAUCCCUGCUGCUGCAGUGCUGAUCGAGCUUUGCUAAUUCCUCUCAUCAAACUUAUUACAUAUAUGUUUUGUCAUUUCAAUGUUUUCAGUUCAAGCAGCUGGUGACUGACGUCUGACGUAGACACACAUGUACAGCUGCUGAUCUGCUGAUGCGCAAUUGCCUGUGUCGAUGAGGUACGUACAAAUUACAAUUAGCUUGUUGUGUUUUACAGUCGGAGCUCGUGUCUUUGGGAAGCCAUUUUAUGGUUUCAUGGGGUUUCGGUUGAUGAGAAAUGAGAGUAGAACGAUGACAAAUGCAAUAUUUAGUUUUUUCUAUCUUGUUUGAUCCUACGAUUUAUUCUGAAUAACAAAAGAAAUAAAAUAUAAAAAUGCCAAUCACAAUAAAAUCAAUUGAUCACAAACUGUAAUUUAUUUUUUUAAGCUGAAACUUCUACUUUUGUAAUUAGAAGAUAAGAUAAACAACCAACAGUUGUGAGUUAGUUUAGUACUUUUUUAUAUAUAAAGGUUAGGUUAGUACUUACUGUCCUGUUUCUAAAGAUAAGAGUGUUUUAUGGGCCUAUAAAUUUGGGCUUUCUUUCGGGCUGAAUUUUGUUAAGAGGUAAUGUACUUAGGAAGCGUCCCAUGGGCCUCCUCAUUUUAGUUCAGCCCUAAUGUACACUGUUUGUUAUUAAAUAUAUAUUUUUAAUGUACACGGUUGUCAUCCACGUAGGAUUGGUGACCGGUUGAAGUUUUAAAAACCUUAUGCAAGCACCCAUGGUGAAGAAAUCGAUUAUUGUUGUCGGCCAUAAAAUUAAUAUUUGUUAGGAGACACCGUUGGAAAUGAACAUCACCUAACAUCCCAACAAAGCAAGUAACAGGGUUCAUUCACAGAAUGAAAAUGCCUUAAACUUGAAGUUAGGUAGCACCAUUAGAUGCAGUGUGCAGGCCAACAAAGAAGAGAAAGAUAGAUUAAAAAGGAUAGGACGAAGACAUAAAUGUGUUUCCGUUAUGGAUAGAUGACCAUCCGGCCCAUUCUUGUAGAUACCCCCGGAUCAAUGUUAUUGAAACACUAUCAUUUUAAUAAAUACUAAAUUUGGGAUUCAGUUUCCCUCUCAUCACAACCUAAUAUUUCAACCCUUCACAUUACUUGAGUAAGGGGGGAACAAGCCACGAAAAACAAUACUCCCGUUUUCAAUAAGCAAACAAGAAAUGAAAUCCCCAAAUAAUACAAAAUUGUCCCAAUAUCAAAUCAAUAUAUUUCUCUUCAUAUUUUUAGCAACAAUUUUAAGUAACAUUAUCGUAAAAAAAAUAACACAAAGCCCGAGCAGCGACGCCGUUUCAAGGAAGAGAACAUCCACGGCGCGAAAAACCGAGCCGGGAUCUGUCUCUAUCGAACUCCAACAAAUAUCCUUGUUGCAUCAGAUUCCCUAUCACCCCAAAACCUUCCCCGGUUUUCACUCCUUGAAUUGCUAAGCACAUCACUCCCUCACUCGUCCCUAUGAAAUAGUUCCCCGCCGGCGGCGAGUACACCGAUCCACCUCCAAGUUCAAACCUCAUCGCCGGGAAGCUCGGCCUUCUCGACUCCCCUGACACGUUCACGCACAGAUCGAACCCAGGAGUCGGAUCCUCCGCACUCGGUAGCGUAAUCCGCCGUCUAAACGCCGUUAGAAUCACCCCGUACGCCGCUUCAGGUAAAAAUGUAAGUGUAGUCCCCGAAUCGACCACCAUGCCACCGUUACCCAACUCGUCCAUCGACCAAACGGAAGGGUCGAUCGGUAAUUUAACACCGCUAACGGAGACGCUCCAGAUCCCGAUGUAGUAAAAAGUUGGGGAAAGUGGGUUGACGAUUAACGGAGUGAAGUCCAUUGAUUCGGCAUCCGAUUCAGAUCCUCCUCCUCCGCCUUCGCCGCCGCCGAUCAUGAGGUAGCUGGUCGGAGGUGGAGCGAGGGUGAAGUCACGGAGACAGUAGGAGAACUUGUUGCCGAAAUGACGGCCCAACUGAGAAGAGAACGAGAUCGAGCCUCUACCAAGGCCCAUUACUCCCUGGGCGCCGUUGAAACUCUGACCCGUUACGCUGGGACCCGAAACACGGAACCCGCACCCGAACGAAACAUUCUUCAGCUUCGUUUCGCGUCCUGAGCUGGUAUUAAGCGUCGUCGUUUCAGUAGAAAAGAACCCGCUCGUUUCCGACCCGUCCGAGUACUGGUACUCGUACCGGCAGGGGCUGUGGAGGCGCGUGAGGUUACAGGGAUUAGGGUACGGGUGAGGAACGAAUCGGCAGAGGCGAUUGAAGCAGUGAGCGAGGGAGAAAGUGGAGGAAUGUCGAGGUAGGAAUGUAGAUCCGGGGGAAUGGUGGGAGCAGUUGCGGCAGGCGGAGCAUUUGACCCAGAUUAGGUCGCUGCCGGUGUCGGCGACGAGGAGGAGGGGCUGCGGCGGGGAGCCGAGUCGGAGGGAGACGAAGUACUGGCCGGAGCCGGAGGAGGCGCCGGAGACGAGAGGGGAAGUGAAGGAAGUGCGAUGACGGUGGAGGUGGGAGAGGCGGCGGGAGUCGAAGGAGAGGGCCUGGAGUGGGGAGGAGAAUGGAGGCUUGUGGAGCAAUGGGAGCUUGAGGGAGUGUUGUUGGUCGGCGGCGGUUGGAUGGAGGAUGAAAAAGAGAAGGAAGAGAAAGAAGAAGAAGAAGGAAGAGAAGGGGAGGAGAGAUAGCAUUACCAUAGCUGGUUGGUAUUGAAAUGGAAGAAGAUGAGGCUAGGGAGAAAGGGAAAGAGGAGGAGGAGGAGGAGGAGGAGGAGGGUGCCGUACUAAUAUACUUGUGACUGCAUUAAUGUCGUCUUCUGUGUGUGAUUUCUUUUUAGGGGGUGGGGAGCUGUGCUUGUCUGGUUAUGAUUGUGAAAGUUUGGAUUAGUUCAUCUUUUGGAAAUUAACUCAGUAUCAGUGCAAUGUUAUUGGUCAUGACUGAAAGUCAAGCAAUUCAUACUCCACUAUUCCCACAUGACAACUGAAGUUGUAAAGUAAUGAAUUCAUCAUGCAGCUAGAUGUAGUAAUGUAAUAUAUAUUGAUGGAACUGGUGGAUUAAAGUUGAAUAUAUAAUUGUAUUAAUGAUAAUAUCACUAAAUAUGGUAUCUGUCUAAAGGAUAAUAGCAUCAUUGCAUUAGACCGGAACAUGAUCCAUGAGUGGUCAAUUAGACAAAUACCUGGUUUUAGGCUAAUGGCGUUAUCCAAUAUUUUAUCAAUUUGUUUGGUGAAUAUAUAUGAUAUAGUAAGCUUAGAUUUCUGAGUGAUGUGAUUUGAACUCCCAUUUAAUAUAUGUAUGCUCUUUAUUUUUAUAUAUAUUAUGGAUUGAUUUUGGACCCACAGGUCUUGAUCCAGCUUUCAUUCAUCAGCAUUUGCCAAACUACCAACCAAUCCAAUUGAUCAUCUGCACGUGGAUUUUGGACCUGUUCCUAAAAUUGUAAAGAAGAGAGUCGUGAAAACUUGAUCCAAUUUAAUAAGUUCGUCGGUCUCAAUCCCAUUCAUAACAGCAUGUAACUCGCUCAGCUCACAACUCAAUUAAUUGAACUCAGUUCUUACCCAAGUAUGCAACCCAAAAUUGAAACAAAAUAAAAACGGGUAAUUGUGCAUCUCAAGUAGCACCGGGUUUUGAAAAAUCUAACAAUUACAAAGUAACCGUUACACAUGCCAUCUUUAGUCAUUCAGUUUGCUAACCCGACAUCUAUAAGGUUAUAAGUGCUUCCCGUGUCAAUUAGUUGAUAUUCCUUAUUAAAUUGAUGGAUAUUUAUUUUACAAUCAAUUAAGAAGCUUCAAGAUUUUGAUGCCCAAUUAAAUUGAUGGAUAUUUCUUUUAUAAUCAAUUAAGAUUUAUAAAUCAAUGCUCAAUCAAACGGCAAUUGUCAAAUAUAUCGGUGAUCUAGUGAUAGCAACAUUUUCCGUACAACACAUGAGCUGGUAAUCUGGGAGUUGCUACCCACACACGAGUAACAAGAGGGAAACAGUUAACCUUAUUAGUUACCGUACUCCGCAUCUUUAUACUCCUAACAACCUUUUCAAGAAGCCAUAGACACGAAACUAACAAUUAGAACAAAAAAGACAAACAAAAGCGAAAGAAGACACUACAUAACUGAAAACGACUAGAAAAAACUAGGAAUUGAGAAAAACAUAAAAUACUUGAAAGAAGUUCGGCUGAGGGGCGAACAUUGUUGAAGCCGAUCCAGAGCUCCCCAACCCCCUAGAGACGAUUAUGCAAUUGGACGGGUCGCUCUUGGCUGACCCGCAUGUACCAUGGUGCGGGAGCAUGGCCUCUCUUCUUCGCUGAUUUCAACGACUUCUGUCCGUAGAUUUUAUUUCGUUCCAUUGGAUGAAUCGUAGGAGGUCGUUGGGAACGCAGAGCUGUCAUUGUGGAAGAAAAAUCGAAAAACCCUACUUAAAGGAAGAACAAAACUUACUCAAAGGGAGAACAAAAUCUUACUUAAAGAGAGAACAAAACCCUAACAACGAUUAAAAGCUGUCGAAAUUAAGGAGAGACGGAGGGAAAAAGAUAAAUGUCGACAACAGAAGGUGCGACGGAUAGAUUUUUUACUCUCAUAUUCUAUACGUUUCAUAUAAUUUAUAUUCUAAAUUGAUGGAUGUUAUUUGGACAACUAAAUCAUUCUUUUAAAAUAAUGGAAACUGCAUGAGUACUUAUACUAAGAUGCUUCAUUAUAUUUACUACCACUCGCUAGUUGCUUACUGCUCACAUUUCAACCGAAUCAAGUAGUUUUGUCUAAAUUCACCACCGCGCAAGCCGGGUCUCUAACCAAGGCCAAUAAGGUUCUAAAUUGAAUAAUUACUUCUUCUCCACCAUAUCAUGAAAAAGUCACGACUUGGAUUCAUUUUUGUCUAAAUUCACUCUAGUGCUCGCUGAUUGAUAAGCUUACAAAUCAGGUUAUCAGGCCAUGUGAGCAGGGGCCAGGUAGAUGGUGCGAGUUGGCCAUUUGGGAAAAUGGAGAAAUGAAAAAAGAAUGUUGAUGGGUGGGUGUGGGUGCAGUCUUCAUUUUUUUGUAGCUUAAAGGGAUGGCUGAAUGGGGGAUGGGAUGGGGGCACCCUUCAGGCUUUAUUGCACCACGCUCUCUCAGCUUUUUUCUGAUACUACUCCUCUUAAUUGUCAGUUCCUACCUAAUCUUAGGUGGAGAGUGGUCUCCCUAACUUAUGUUCCCCAACACCCCUCCCUUAGUACCACUAAGUACUAAUACUAUCCAAGCCAAUGUUUGCCAAACUGGAGGCCAGUUGAUGCAUACCUUGUCGGAUGGACCAAUGCAAUCUGGGUUUCACAGCCUUACCCGUUGAACACCGAAGACGAGAUAACCUCCUCUCAACGUGGCCCAUCAUGCCAAAGCAUGCCGAGUUGGCAACCAGGGAUGUUCCAUAAGAGUUAUGUAAUUCCUCAGUAAACCAAAUGACAACCAUGGUAGGUUAUCAAUACUUGUACAGCCAUUAGUUUCUAAGAAGGUAUAGCCGAAGCAGAGGCUACCUCCCUCGGAGAUAGUUACUUCAUUGGCUUUGAUUUCAUUAUUCAACAUAACACCCCCCACUAAAUCUUACAACAUACAAGUGACUGCAAUCCUCCCACACGCCGCAAAAACCGAAAAAUUCAGAAUACUAUUUUACAAUACCAGAAAAUCCAUCGCGACACUGUGUAUAUCACUUCCGCCUCCUCAAAGGAGGGGCGCUCUGUGACCAUGAAGAUGGCUUGAAUCCCCCUGUUAGCAACUUAUUUGCUGCCGCUGCACUUAUCUUCCUCCUCUUUGUUUCUAGCUCUUGAUGCCUCUUACUAGUCCCUGAUGAAUCUGGAAAUAUUGAAGCGGAGUUUAUCAGUGCUCGCUUGUCCCUCCUAUUCCUCUCAAACUUGCCAGAGAACUUCACUUUGGCUGCUGCUGUUGCAUCUUCCGCACUGCUUGGAAGUAGCCGCAUCCCAAACCCUCUUUUCCUUGCGGCCAUCUCCUCUUCGGCAACUCGUUUCUUUUGGCCUCUUAGACGGGCACGGAGAGCCUUGUUCAGUGCAUAGUCAUCUGAAUGUCUAGAAUCAGACACGCGUUGCAGUCGUACUAGAAUCGGCUCUGCUUCUUUCUUUUUCUUCAAGUCCUCUUCUUGGUGCUCCAGACGAUAAAAUGGAUCGGACAGUUUUCCCUUCUCUGUACAAGAAACAACACAGUAGUUGAUAAGUAUAUUCAAUUGGAAAUAUUCAUAUAUAUAUUCUGUAUUAAUGUGACCGGAAAGUAAGGCAAGGUGGUUAAUCUCUCCAUAAAAAUAUAGCUAGGAAGUGCGCUAAGGUUGGAAUAGAAAACUAACCUUCGUCAGCUGGGAGUAGAAGCGUCUCAGCAUCUUCAUUGUCAAACUCCUCAACCUUUUUCUGAGCUCCACUAAUGAUCACAUAUUCACAAUUCUUUGGAUCUGUCUGAAUCACUAUUUUAUGGCUGCAGCAUGCAGCUUUCAUGGUAAAGCUCCAUAUCUGUAAGACAAAGAAACAGUAUUGCGAGAGUUGGUACAAGGAAGGAACAACAACAAUUAUAGGAAGAACAUAUCACUGAGAAAAUCAUGUAAAUAUACUGAGCAGAAAAAUUCUUCUAUCUAAGUGUGAUAAAUGCUUUGUUGAUGGAACCAAAUAUGAUGAAAAUUCUACCAAACACUGAAGUAUCGUAUAUGCAUUUAUCAAAAUCAAUACUUUAUAGACAACCCGAAAGUCCUCAAUGUGACAAAAUUAUCCAAGGAUUUCAUUAACUAUAAUGCAAGGACCAUCGAAUCAGUGAGGAAAGGUUACCUUGGUGGAAUAGUAGUUCCCCACUUGUUUCUUCUCUGCAUUAAACCGAACACCUUUUGCAAUCAUAGAAUUGCAACCACCACACCAUAUGUGGUAUGGCAUUUCGAAUCUGAAAAAAAGAUUAUGUUAGAUCAAGAGCACGGUCGCAUACUAUCACAUUAUCAAAUGAUUGAUAAGUCAGAUCAAUCAGAGGACUACUCCGGUAAAAUGGUUGUUUUUGACAGAGUAGCUAAAGCCUUCGCCCAACACUAUACAACCAUAGUGCAUUGCAGAAAUCAACAGCAACUAAUCUUAAUCCAAAGUUGAACUUACAAUGUAUAUACUCGUUCACUCCUAGGAACCAGAUUCUUGUUGUACUACUGCUAGCUAUAAUAGAAAUUUUCUAGCCACAAAAAGAUUCAAGUAAUCACUCACCUUAUAACCAGAAUGCCCUGGUCUAUCUUUUUUGCUCUCUCCCUCAAGGCAUGUUGUCCGUUGAACUUGUUUAAGGAACCCUAAGUAGAAGUAGAAAUCUGAGCCUCAGUAAAUUUCCCCAGAACAAAAAAGCAAAGGAAAAAUAAGUUCAAGAAGACCAUGCACCUUCUUCGGUGUCCAUUCUGGGGGGUAGUAAAAGUUGUCUGCUCUUGCAGCAGCAAGGGUCGACUGCAUAAAUCAAGAAAAGAAUUGUUAGAAUUUUCAUAAAACAGAAAAGGACACAGCUGAUAGUCUAAAUUCAAUGGCUACAUGACCCAAGUAUCCCUCAAGUUCACGAUUUCAUUCCCAAGUGCCAAAGCACCACCAUGAUCUGGUGCUUCCAAUACUUGAAACACACAGAGCCAGGAAAACAAACAAUGAGCCAGAAAACAAUAUUUGCCCAACGGAUGCCUAAUCACCCAUUGCAAUCUCAUGUGAGCCAAAUCUAGCAAAUGAAACCUUCACACUUAAGUAAUAUCCCCCUAUGGAACUUCAGCGGAAACCUCAGGAAAACCGCUGUAUCUUACAAGAUGCUUUCACACAAUCUAGAACACGACUGAAGGAUCCAAAAAAAGUUCCGUAGGCAAAUAAAAACCCUAAAAAGAAAGAUCCCAAAACGAACUACUUUAAAUUGUGUCGGCAAACAAUUGCAACCCAUAAGAACACGAACAACAUAGAUGAAGGCUGCGAGAUAGAGAGAAAGAGAUCAGCGUACCAUUAUGAAAUCUGAUCGACGAAAUCAAGAAUCAGUUUCGGAGAAAAGCCUUUUCGUGCCGGUGACCUUUUGAUCCACAAUUCCGUUGAAAGUUCGUCGUUCGGAGACGGUAACAACAGCCGCAAGCUUCCGUAUAUAAUACAGCGAAUCAAAACGGUACCGUUAUAAGCGGGAAAGUUUCGGCCUUUGGGCUUCUUCAGCGAUUGGGCUAAGUGCGGGCCGUGAGCAUGUCUCUAAUUAUUUCGAUAAUGGCUUGGUUUACAACUCUUGUCCCAUGCGGUCGGUACUGAACAUGUAGAAGCCUUUAACGAAUGGAGCCGUUUUUUGUGUGGUGUGACAAGCUCUUUUUUGUUUUUUCAGAUAGUGAAAAAUUGAUUAUAUUAUAUGAGUUGAUUUUUAAAUUUUGUUAUGUUGUAUGGUUUGUUAUCUUAAUUUCUCCUUCGAAAAUUAUUUAUGUCCAUAAAAAAUUAAUUAAUUUCUUUUCUGCUAUGUAUUUAUGAUAUUAUGAAUUAUUGUACUGAAUAAGUGAGGGAUGGACUGCAAACUUCUUAUUAUAAGUUAUGUACCAAUCCUUGCUCACUACCGACCCUUUAGUUUCGAUCGUUAUUAGCCUUUCUUAAUUAAUUAGUGACUUUUCUAAUGUAAACUUGGAUGACGUGGCACCCCUUAAUUAUCACUUUCAUGCAAAUGCCUUCAUCUUGGCUUAUCUCUUUCAAUCACUGGCUAUCGAAUUGUAACUUUGGUUUUCCUUCAAUCUAUUUCCUAAAUGGAUUUCCAUUGAUUUCCUGCAACACUUCCAAAAAAACUACAAUUGUUUUUAUGAAUAGACCUUUAUUCAUAAAUGUUCAGUCAUAUUCUUCCGAGGUGGGCAAAUAAGAUUUUGGCCUAUGCUCGUUAUGUUUAGACAUGAAUUUAUGUAUCAAUCGGACUUCUGAGUUAGGAGAUAUGCCCAAAGUACGAAAUUGCGACUUUUUCCGAUCAAGUCGAAAUCCAAACUCCUUGAAGAUUCAAAAUGCUUCCCAUUGCUUGGCUUAGACCAUCCACACACACCGUAUCUCUCCGAUUAAUGCCUUGAUGUCGUUAUGUACCUGAAAUCUAUAAAAAAAACACUCUAAAACAACAUCAAAUGGACCCCGAACGGGUCCCAGACACUAAAUCGAGAUAUAUGUUAGAAAUGCACGAAACAUUCUAAACUUCUACCCAAAACUAUAUGAAUGUGCAUGAAGUGUCGCUUAAAUGAGGAUGAUGAACACAACAAAUCGAAUGUCAGAUCAUACUCAAACCUGUCCCGUUAAAAUAAUAGGUUAGCAAAAUCCAAUAUGUGCAGUCCAAUUCGAGUAAUUACGGGGAGAAAAGUGACUUAUAUAUAAAGCAAAGCCAAGCGUGAAAAACUGAAGAUGAGACACUGCAAAUUAAACAAAGGGUGCAUGUGAAGAGAGUCGUCUGUCUUGCCGCGUAAAUGGGCAGCCUGCCUGUAUUUCCAUAAGUCAAACGUGAUUUAAUUUAAAAGCACCACCACCCCCUACACAUAUAAUAUUAAUUUAAUUUAAAAGUGUGGUGCGAAAUUAAACACCACCCCAUUAAUUAAGUAUAAUAAUAAUAAUAUUCAUUUAUAUGCACCCGUGCAAGAAAUUAUUGACCGUCGUUCUUAAUUCUUUUAUUUUUGAACUUUUUCAUGCAUAGUAAUUGAUUUGUCCCGCAUAUACUUUGAUUUGAUGAUGUUGAAUUAAUAUGCGCCACCGUCCCAACGUUGCUCACAGAAAGUGUACGUGGAUUGCUCUUCUCUACUAUUAAUUAAUUAUUAUUUAACCACUCACAAAGUAUACUAUUAAUUACUAGCGGUAUAAUAAUCUUCCAUCUCAUCCAAUCAUCAGUCUUCAAACACACAUACACCAAAUGACAAAUAUCAUAAUUAACGACAUAUAUAAAUAUAUGGUUUCACUCGAUUGAGAUCCAUUAUGGCUUUAUGAAAGUAAUCAUGAACUAAAAUUUAAUGCGUAACAAUUAAUAAAAUUGAUUUCACGCCUUUUUUUUAUAUAAUACUCCUCACCUUAUAAACAAAUACUUUUAUCAAAACAACGAAAUUCAUUCAUGGAUGAUUUGGUUUUAUAUUUUAAUUUUAUUAUAUUGUAGUAAAGAUAUAAACCACUCACAAAUAUGAUGUAAAUAUAUAUAUAUAUAUGUAGUUUUUAUUGGAACAAGGGCUUUUACCUAGCUAUACUAUAACUUGCUCCCUUGCCUUAACUAUAGGCUAGGAAUUUGGUUUCGGUUAAAAAAAUUAAAAUUAUUAAAUGUAUGAACUGGCUUAAAUAGGUUUUUUUUANNNNNNNNNNNNNNNNNNNNNNNNNNNNNNNNNNNNNNNNNNNNNNNNNNNNNNNNNNNAUCGAAUAAUCGAUUAAAAGUAGAUUAACUGAAAAAAUAAAAGUAUCCUCAAAUCUAAGUGAAACUCCCAAAGUCAAUGGAAACGGUUACAAUUUUGACAUUAAAGUAUCGGUUAAAUUAGUCAAUCGGUUAACGGUCGGUUAAUUAAUCGUGGCGAUCGAUCGAAUAAUAAAAAAGCUAACCGAUCUAAAUAUUCAUAUCAUUUUUCUCAACCGUUAACUAACGAUUAAUAACCAAAUUAACCAGACUUCCAAACCUAUUACGACUUGCCUCCCCCACUCCCCCACUCCCCCUCUUAUUCCCAAAACGCUAAUUACUUGGUUAUUAAAUUCCCUAAUCCCCACAUGAACAGGAAGCCCCAAAAUAAGGAACCCUCCAACCUGAAAACAAUAUCUCACCAAAACUCCAAACCCUCACUUCCACACAAUUAAGGGUAGCAACUACACAACACAUUAGCUUGAUUCAAGCUCUCUCUCUAUCCUUUUAUAUUACAACUUCUUCAUCGAUAUUUGCAUUUGAAAACUUCCCACCUUAUAAUUUUGUUUCUUUUUUCUUUUCCAUUUUGUUUGUCUAUCUAGCUAUAGAGCCAUACUUUCAAUCAAUCCCUCCACAAAUUUCUUGCUUGUGUUCCUCCAUGCUUCCUCUUCCAUUAAUAACAUCACUUCUCCUCUUGCUCUUAUUCCUCCAUGGCCUUGAAAGUACAAGCUCUAGUCUUCCUCAUUGUCCUCCUCUGGAUCUCCUUCCUCUUCAUCAUCUUCCAUGAGCUGUACGGCUUCAAGACCAACGUUCACCACAACACACACUUGAUCGUCUCAUCUUCCAUGCGAAGGCAAUACGAUCGUGAUGAUCAUCAGCAGCAGCAUCAAGAUCGCCCCGAACCUAACAAUUACAGGAAAGUGUUGGCUACCAAAUUCGACUUCAGUCGGUUCUUGAAGCCAAGCCCUCCUCGUGGUGGCCAUCAUCACCAUCACCAUCAUCGCGAUCGUCACAAGGGUUUAGCUGAUCAUGAAGAUCAACAAGGUCACGAGAUCGAUCCUCGAUAUGGAGUCGAGAAGAGGCUAGUUCCAAGCGGUCCGAACCCAUUGCACCAUUGAUGAUGGGGUUCUGAUCAUCUCUUAGAACAUUUUUUCUUCUCUUUGUUUGGUGCCAAAGUUAUGAAUAUGGAUCAUCAUCAUCAUCAUCAUCAUCAUCAACACCAUUAUAAUUGUUACUCAUCUAUCUCAGGUUUGGUGAGAUCAUGAAUAUAUCUUGAAGGACAAUUAAUAUAUAAGAUCAGCUUUCAUAAUUACUUAGAGAAUGAUCGAUGUUUACCCUAGUAGUAUAAUCAAUUGUUUUAAUUUGCUCUCUUAAUUUGUUCAACUUUAUUCAUUUCCACGUAUAAUUUUGAUGGUGUACGUAUGAGUUUUUCUUUGUAAAGAUUAUGGAUCAUUUUGUGAAUGAUUUUACUAAUUUGUGAAUGAUUUUAUUAAUUUGUGUUCAUUAUCAGCUGCUAAUGCGUAGUACUUAAUUAGUUGGAGUAGUUAGUUUGCUCCCCCUAAUUGUUUUAGUUUGUUGGGUUUGGAAGGGGACAUGAGUAACUGUGACGGCACGGCAUUAUUUGGGAGCUGAAAAGAAGGUGUAAUGUAAUAAUAAAUAAAGUACUGCAGCUAAAUAAUUAUUAUUUAGGUCACUUUAAUUUGUAAAUUUACAGCUCUUGCAUAUUCAAUGCGGGUGGUUAGUUUACAGCUAAGCUAAGCUAACUUUGUGUACAUUCCCCGUGAAAGUUUCGGUUGUACAUAAAGCACAGAUCUUAUACCAUAUAUCUUAUUCUUUUUUUUUUUUACCAAAUCAAAACAUCACAUGAUAUCGUAGCAAAUACGAAGCAUACAUGGAUUCCAAUGAGAGGUGCAGUCCUCACUAACGAAACUAACAUGGAUAGCGGGUCCUUACAAACGCAAACACCUCAAUCCUUUCUCUCCAACAAAUGAACAUCCAACCAGGGUUCAUCCGGACGAACUAGAAAUAACACAACUCAAUGAAGUAAAGCUAAAACAACUGAAAAAUAGCCAACGGUAGCUGAAGGAUUCUCCUAGGAUUGCACGACUAAGGAAGGCUAAUCCUUGGUCGUGUACUUGGAAGUUCAAUGUGACUGGUCCGCCCAUCCUUGUGGGCUAAUCGAAGCUGAUGGUGAUGGAUUGACAACCACAUCUAAAGGAGUGCCGCUAGCUCGGGGAUGAGCACAACUGGCCGAUCGUUCGUUAAUUCGCUUGCUCUGGUUCUGGGUGUAUUGACUACUGACGAAGCGUUCGUCAAUCUGGGUUGGGUUGCAACAGCGAUCGGUGGUGGUGUAGCUGGUGCGCUCCCAGCUGAUGUCACGAAGGCUGCUUGUAGUGCGGAAGAUAGAUCGGUAUUCGCCGCCGGAGGGGUUGUGGAUAUUCAGCGGGCGAUUUCGGUGGUGGCCCUGUUCAUGGUGAGGAUGGAGGUUGUGGUGAUGUCGGGUUGGGUGAAGGCCGCGUUGUUGAUGGAGGUUGUUGGAGGAUUUGUGAUUCUGUUGCCUACGGUGGGUUGUGAUUUAAAGGUAGGAUUGCGGCUAGAAUUUUUGAAGAGGUCAUAAUCGGCUCUUACAAGCUCUCCUGUGAGAGAUAACAGUUUGGCAUAUUGUACCAUAUAUCUUAUUCUAUAUCAUUAAUCCAUCACACGAUAUCAUAUAAUUCCUUUUAUGGAUACUCGUUCGGUUCGGAAAAAAUUCGUUCCUGAUUUGAUUUGAUUUGAUUUUAAAUGAUCCAAACUUGAACCAUGGUAUGCUCAACUCAAUAUACUCAAGUUGGUUCUACCUCGGCUCAACCCAGUUUUGGUCCGGACCACUAAUUUUGGGUGUAUAAUAAAACUUUACCGAGUUCGGUUCAUGGCAAUUUUGAGUUCAGUGUUUGGUCGUGUUGAAACUAGAGGGAUCCAUUGAGAGUCCUAAAGGAACCCAAUGAGAGUCCUGACUAUCUUGUUUUAUGGUUUCGAGUACUAAAUUAUAUAUAAAAUUUUGAUGAUGUCAUAGCUCAGCUAAUAGUAUUUGAAGUUUUGCUCUUCUACUUAUUUGUUUAAAAUAAGUAACAAUCAUAAAUUUAAUUCAAACUAUUCAAAUAUAGGACAAAAAACUCGUCAUGACACAUAUAUUACAUUUGAAACUAAAAAUAGUACAAUGAAUUUAUUUUCAUUUUAAAAAUUACUAUUAGAAUUAAUUUAUCAAUUAGUUAAUCGAUAGACAUACAAAUUUUCAAUUCAAGUUUGGCUCAGUUCAUAUUUCCAUCCUGGUUCCGCCAUUGAGUGUAUGGAUCGUUAGAAGACUCAAUGAUGUGUAUGCUAAUGAAACUGCAAGUGGUACAUUGUUUCUGUUAGUAAACACUUGUAAAUUUUAUGAUAGUUUGUUUUUUAGCUUGACUCGUCGUUAUUUUUUAGUGUACAAACUUCAAAUUUGUCUCAAAUUGUACUCAUAAGGUGGGUUUUAAUGAGCGAAACUCCAGUUGAACUUGAGUUUGGCUCCUCGAGCUUAGUUAACGAGACAACCUCGAAUAGGUUUGCACUCGACACAAGCUAAAAUUUCAUAGCUCGAGUUCGAGCUUGAACUUGUAUAAAAAGCAACGAGCCGACUAAGCUUGAGUACAAUAAAGUUCGACUAGACUCAAUCCGUUCGUUCGUGAACAACAUAUGUUGUUUUAUUUUAUUAAAAGGUGAAUAAGUUAAUUUCUUACCUAGAAUGUUAAGGAGUUAAGGUUAUUUGUAUUGAUAAAUUCAUAUAAGUUAAUGGGUUAUCAUAAUAUCUUAUUAAGUUUACGGUUCAAUAUAAAUAGCUUAACAUAAUCCUAUUAAGUAUAUAUAUCUUUUUUAUUUAUAUCUCCAUAACACAACUAUCUUCGCCAUCAUCAUUAUAAUAAAAUUUCAUCCUUCUCCGUAUGAACUAGUUGAUCUCAAAAUAAAAAUUAUAUUAAUUUUUCAUAUUAUUCUUUUUUUAUUCUUCCUUUAACUUUUAUUAUUCCAAAUUUAUUUAUAACUUGGAAUGUUUAAAUUGCCCUUAUUAGGGAUCAUCACCCAGAUCGUGAAGCAUGCCUACUAAAGUAACUCAAAAGCGGAUUCACAAGGAAUAUUGAUAUUCCCCACUAUGCAAGUAUUCACAGCUGGGAUAGUCAAAUAUGAAAUAUAACAUCAAUAGAAUUGGUUAACCGUUGGUGAGUGGGGGAAGAUCCUCACUUUAAUCGAGUUGGAAUCUCUUAAGAUUAUUCUUCCUGUAGAUUUUACUGUCCAAUAAUAGAUUGUGCCGCAAUUUGUCUCAAAUUGUACUCAUAAGGUGGGUUUUAAUGAGCGAAACUCCAGUUGAACUUGAGUUUGGCUCCUCGAGCUUAGUUAACGAGACAACCUCGAAUAGGUUUGCACUCGACACAAGCUAAAAUUUCAUAGCUCGAGUUCGAGCUUGAACUUGUAUAAAAAGCAACGAGCCGACUAAGCUUGAGUACAAUAAAGUUCGACUAGACUCAAUCCGUUCGUUCGUGAACAACAUAUGUUGUUUUAUUUUAUUAAAAGGUGAAUAAGUUAAUUUCUUACCUAGAAUGUUAAGGAGUUAAGGUUAUUUGUAUUGAUAAAUUCAUAUAAGUUAAUGGGUUAUCAUAAUAUCUUAUUAAGUUUACGGUUCAAUAUAAAUAGCUUAACAUAAUCCUAUUAAGUAAAUAUAUCUUUUUUAUUUAUAUCUCCAUAACACAACUAUCUUCGCCAUCAUCAUUAUAAUAAAAUUUCAUCCUUCUCCGUAUGAACUAGUUGAUCUCAAAAUAAAAAUUAUAUUAAUUUUUCAUAUUAUUCUUUUUUUAUUCUUCCUUUAACUUUUAUUAUUCCAAAUUUAUUUAUAACUUGGAAUGUUUAAAUUGCCCUUAUUAGGGAUCAUCACCCAGAUCGUGAAGCAUGCCUACUAAAGUAACUCAAAAGCGGAUUCACAAGGAAUAUUGAUAUUCCCCACUAUGCAAGUAUUCACAGCUGGGAUAGUCAAAUAUGAAAUAUAACAUCAAUAGAAUUGGUUAACCGUUGGUGAGUGGGGGAAGAUCCUCACUUUAAUCGAGUUGGAAUCUCUUAAGAUUAUUCUUCCUGUAGAUUUUACUGUCAAAUAAUAGCUUGUGCCGAUUUGUUACAACUUAGAAGUGACAAUUUUAGAACAAUAUAUUUAUAAUGUCAGAAGUAAAUUUUCCCAAGCACGGAGUGCGUUUUCCAUCCCGUUAAAUACAGCGAAUUUAGAAUAAAUCGACGACAAAAUCUCAAACCUUUGUUUUUCAAAACAAAGGACGUGACCAAAAACCAGCGGAGCUUCAAAACCGCCACAACAUCAUCUAUUUCCCCUUAUAAAGGGGUGGCUUUUCUUAAAACCACCGAUAAUUUAUUAAGAGAGUGAGAUUUGAUAUGUUGUAUUUUUGACACAUUUUUUCUCGUUAUAAAUUAUAUUUUGAUGUGUUGAAAUGUACUCAUAUUUACUCUUCAUUUUUCGUUUCCAUAAGGAAGUGGAUGCUCUACCGCAGCUCCGGAACAAAACGCUGCAAGUACUCGACUGUUAAAGGCUGGCCGAUGCCUCUACAGUUCCAACUUAUAAUACUCAUGGAAGGGGAGGUGGCUCUGGGUAUGCCACAGAACCCCCUUCCUCUUCCAUGGAGGGGCAAGCCUCUGUCAUGCUCGAAGCUUCCUUUCCUGGAUGCUCCUGCUCCUUGGUCUCCUGAUUGCUGCCUUUUGAAUUCUUUCGGGACCUGCUAGUGUUCCUUCUAUUGCCUUUUAGAGAGGAAAGUUGACUGGUGGGUUUCUCUGAUGCACCUUCGAGGUAAGACUUGGAGCCAAAUUCUGGUUUCCUCUUCUUGUUAUUCUGGUGGGUUUCAAGAAUCGGACCCGUGUGUUCAUCCCCUCCUUCUUGAGUAGAAGCAGGCUUUUGCUGUUAGGGCCCAGCAAGAAUCCAUAAGAUAACAUCUGUUUUAUGAAGCCCAAGUCGGCCUCAUUUUGUUGACCCGACCCAUCAGGGAUUUCCUUAAACCUGGGCAACGGACUGACUGUGAGCUCUACCAUGGAAGCUUUCAGAUUUCUCGGUUGCAUCCCUUCCAUCAUCACCUCCUUGGCCAGACUAGGGAAGAAGUCAUUGGUAUUAGGGGUGUAGGUGGGGAUACCUUGUAGCAGCGCUUGGCGCAGAGAGAGGGUCCUAGGAGAAUGGGUUUUUUCCUGACAACAUGACCGUUGAGCCACUCAGGGAGAGUUUCUCUUUCAUUGGGGAUCCUCGGAGGAUUAGCCGGGCGAAUCCCGGCGGAGGGGAUUCCUUAUGGCGAGAGAACCCAGACGGUGAGAACUCAAUCCGUUCAUCAACCCUUUCCCCUGAACCCUCACCCAGGUCAAUAGCUUUUUCCUUGCUCCUUAAUUUCAUCUCCGCUUCCUCCUCCAUUGCUUUCUUCCACUUGCAGGCUCUGAUGCGAUGGCCGAUCUUGUCGCAAAAAUCACACUGAUCGGACACCUUUUCAAAGUCAAAGGUGAUUUUCUCCAUAUUUCCAUCAAACCGGAAGUUGUAUUCCUUCCGAAGGGGGUAUUGAGAUUGAUCUCCAUGAAAUCACGUCCAUCUUUCCCCGUCCAGCCCCGCAUCCGAGACGUCAAUUAAGCGAGGGAAAAGGCUUCCUGUUCGAUUAAUGUCGUCUCUGUUGCGAUGGGAUGCUGGGAUGUUGAAAACUCUAACCCAGAAGUCAAGUUUCCCUAAAUUUUGAACGUAACUCGACUUCUCAACUGUUCUAACUUCCUUCCCAACGACGGAUAAACAUAUAUAAACUACACAUUUAUCAUAAUCGAAGCGCCAUGACCUAUUUAAAAAAUCUAGCUAAUAUAUUCUAAAACCAUAGAUCUAUUAAGAACUUGGAAAUCCAAAAUUGAAGACACAAUCACAAUGAGAGGCGGAAAGGAUCCUCAUUAAGCCACAAUUUCAUUUGUUUGUAAUCCCAACUACAACUAAAAAAAUCCAAACCACAUUCCUCAACUACCAGACAAUUUCCAGUAUAAGCCUACUCAAGAAUGAAAACGACCACUACGCCGUACGUCUCUGCCUAAAUACGACCCAGAACAGGACCUUAUUUGGCUCUUACGAAAAAAGCUAAGCCACUCAAUUUGCGAAACCAACGUGGAAAGAAAUUUAACAGUAGAAGUUGAAACUAAAACAGGCAUCCAUUCCAAUACUUUAUACUUUAUACAAUGCUGGAUUUAAUUCCUUCCUCAUGUCCAUUUGACUGAAAUACAAAACGCUAAUAAAUCAAAUAUUAAGUGGAAGAAAUUCACUACUCUGCCUCAUCUCCCACUGGCGUCUUCUUCUUCUUCUUCUUCUUCUUCUUCACUCUACCAGCCGAUUGUGCUUCUUUAUAAACAUUUUCUUCCCAAUCCGCUUUCCCAUCCUUUUCAUCCACAACAUUACCAAUUACUAUGCCAACUGUUUAAGUACAAUCCCCUCCAAAUUUCUCGUUUCAGGGAGGAACAGAGUUUCACUGUGUCUAGAUAAUAUGGCGCGGCUGCUGCUACUUCUUGAGCGAGGGGUGAUGGUGGCGGGUCAUGGUAAUGGAUUUGGAUCCUUGCCUUCCAUCCCUCUGGCCAUUGGGUUGUUUUUAGCGGUCGGGGUUCUGGUUGGAUUAUGCGCCCAUCAGCCGGCGGCGAAGGAAAAGCCGGAUACUCCGGCGAACAGGAAGACUUCUUCAAAGAAAAAAUUGGUUACGAGGACGUUUAGCCGAAACAAGACGAAUUCGCAGAAGAACCGAGAGGGCGGAGGCGACGAUCACGAGCACGAGAUUAGAGUAGACAUCAGCGCUCAGGUGCCGGUUCCUCUGUCUCCACCGCCGCCGCCUCCGCCGCAGAGGAAGAAUGGAGGUAGGAAGGAGGGGAGCGGCGGCGGAGGGUAUGAGAAGAAGGGGAAGAUCAUGGGUGGGGAGAGAGUGUCGAGGGGAGGGUUCGGGGAAGGUGGGUUGUGGCAGAAAUCGAUAUUGAGAGGUGAGAAAUGUCAGUUGCCGGAGUUUUCAGGGGUCAUUUUUUACGACAGCAGGGGAAACCAACUCCACCUUACCAGUUGAUCAGGGGGUGGAAACGCUGCGUUUUUGUCACGAAGGUACCCUUUUGGUGGUGGUGUGUAGACGUGUACGUACUUUUCUACACGGUCGUCUCUAGUUUUCAUAGAUUGAGAUGGUCGGAAACUGGAAAGGUUGCAGUUUUUUGUUUGUUGUUGGUAUUGCAGCAACUACUAUGGAGCUUCAAACAAUGUUAGUCUAUAUGUUGCAUAGAUAUGCAUCUCAUUCAUACGAGAAAUAAUGGGAAGUGUGUUUGGGUGCUGAUGUUUAUUUCCGUUUUUCGAGUCAUGCUUUUGUGAAAAAUUUUAUUGGGUUAUCUUAUAUCGAAAAAAUGUACGAGGAAAAAUCUUAAUUUUUAACUAAUUUUUGGGACAAGAAAGCUUAAUAAAAUUUAAUAGUGAUAUUAAAAUUUUUGUCAACAUCAGUUUUUAAAAGGGAUCGAGAGAUAGAUGUGUGAGCCUCACCCUUUUCUAUUAAUAAAUUUUUUUAGAAGUGUAGCGUAAACCUAAUUUUUUUUUACAAUUAAACUAUUCUUUAAAAUAUCAAGUACAUCAUAACGAGAUCAAUAAAUCAACAAUGAAUCAAAAAAUAAGAAAAGCGUACACACUUAAGGAAUUUCGUGCCUGACACUAAUAAGAUAGUAUGUUACAUGAUUAUUUUCAUGAUAAAUAUGAAUAAAAUUAAAGUCCCAUACCCUCCACGUCAACCCAUAUAUAUUCAACACCCAUAUAUAUUAUUAUUUUCAAACUUUCCCGAUCAACCAUAUCUUCUCAUCUUCAUUCUCGUUUUCAUUUUAAGAAAAUCAAUUGUCUAUCUCGCUAUCUUUGUAAUCGGUCACAAGAUGAAUCUCAACGACGCCAUUGCAACUCUAACAGUUGGAUUGAGAUCCACAACUUCUGCAUCGGGAGAUCUCAGCGUAGGAGUUUCAAAAUCGGGAGAUCUCGACGUUGGAGCUUCUGAAUUCAUAGAUCUCAACGUCACACCUUCUUCUUCUACUAAUCAGAGUGCCGAAAUUUCUCAUCUAAACGGAUUUUUCGAUGUGAUAACCGUCACAAUUUAUGAAUCUAUUGAUCUCAAUGACACAUCGGGAUUUCAACCAAUGUUUGGAUCUACAGUUGAAUCAAAUUCAACAUAGCAACAACCUGAAGACAAUCUAAAUGAUUCGAACUAAACUUUAAUAGGUUAGUGUGAAUUGAAUCAUGUUUGUUUACUAAUUAAUUACAAAAUUAUACAUUUUAAUAUAUAACCGAUUAUAUACGGUACAAUCUAAACAUGUAUGUAACUAGUUAUAACUAUAUCCGAGUGGCUUCCCCAUAUCGAAGUCAGCCAACGACCUUGCCGCUUGCUUCCAGCUUUAUCGGCAAGCAUCUUCGGCUUCUCCGUCACGAAGAAAUCGCUUAUGUUUGAAACAUAAGGGUUUAGAAACUAAUUUGAAAAGACGGAAAUACCCCCACAUUAAAAACCAAGUCAAUUAUGAGCCGUCAGAUGGAGUGGGCAAUCUUGCGGCUGGGAGAUAUCUUGGACUUCCUAGAACAAUAAUUCGCCUGGAUUCCAGGCAAGGUCGUCGGAGGUAGGAAGGAAUGCGAUUUCCUCGUCAGACGGAAUUGUUUUCGCUCCAAAUUUUAUUAUUUAACUGAAAACGGAAAAGAGGUUAUCCACCGCCGAUUCUUCUUCCUCCGAGGCUCCCAUGGAGUCCGCAGCUACUAACGUCCGACCACAGUCCUUUGGGCAGACCGAGAUUAACUGGGACAAGUACGUAUUUUUUUUGCUCUCCAUACUUCUUUACAGUUUCCCCUAUGCUUCUCCGGUCUCCAUUCCACCACCUCUGUUAAGUGGUUGCCCAGAAAAUUGGCGCAUAAAGAAAUGUGGUAGUUGAGCUAGCUAAUCUAACUACUAACUGUUAUGAUUAGGGUUUAAUGCGGGAGUCUCUUCAUAGAACUUGCCAAUACCCAAUCCCUUCCGUCCUUUGUCCUUCAUUUUGGGGAUAUCUUCCGGCCUGGUAGUUCUAAGUCAUUUAGCAUGCCAGCCUUGAUACUAGCGACCAUCUUUGAUAGCUUGAGUUCUACAAUUUGGAACUUCUGUUGCGAAAAAUGCGAACUUUUGUUUUGUUAACCAUCUCUGAGGGAGUUGGGACUCCUUUUCUUGAUUAGUGGUAAUUGUUGUUCUCUGUCAAGUGGUUUGCAACUACUGUCUAAGAGAGGAGAUAAAGAGUAUGCGUUCUCUAGUUUGACAGGUUUCACAGAUGGUUUGAAGUAUGGCUGAGACUUGAAACUUGUGCUGCCCUUGCGUAUCAGUGUACACUAGUUUAGAUGAAUUCAUAGCUGUUGGCUUUACUUAUUCUGAUACUGCCUCUUGCAGCAAGUAAAGAUAUCGGAUCACUGGUAAUGAUUCAAGUCGUCUACAAAAUAACAGAAAGAUCUCUGACUGUUGCUGCUAAAGUGACAAUUAUAGCCAAUUCUUCCUCCUAUUUGAUAUGACCACUAAAUACCUCCAUUUUCCCUCUGUCUAGGAUCCAUCUGCCGCACUUUGAUUUUUUUAUAGCUUUCUUCUCAAAGUGAUUUCUGGAAUUCAUUUCCUUCUCUCUCCCUUGGUUGUAAUCCUAACCUCUUACGUGUUCUUACCACCUGUUUUUCCAGGCUCGACAAGACUAAGUUUUAUGUUGUAGGAGCUGGCAUUUUCACUGGCGUUACAGUAGCCCUGUAUCCUAUGUCCGUAAUCAAAACCAGACUCCAGGUUGCUACCAAGGAUACCAUUGAGAAAAAUGCUUUGUCUGUUAUCAAAGGCUUGCUGAAGACGGAUGGUGUUCCUGGUCUAUACCGAGGGUUUGGCACUGUGGUAACUGGGGCAAUUCCCACCAGGAUUGUCUUUCUCACAGCUUUAGAGACCACAAAAGUGGCUUCUUUCAAAAUGGUUGAACCAUUCAAGUUGUCUGAAGCUUCGCAAGCUGCUGUAGCCAAUGGGAUUGCUGGCAUGACAGCAUCUUUGUUAUCACAGACUAUGUUUGUUCCUAUCGAUGUGGUAUGUUGACCUACUGCCUGAGCUCCAAGCCUUUGUAUUCAAUUUUAUUGGAAAAUUACAUAUGGUGCCGAAAUAAUACUUUACUAUAUCAGCUUUUAUCUUGAAUAAUUUAUUUUAUGCUCUGUUGUUCUGAUUUGCUUCAUGAUUGAACGUUUAGGUCAGUCAAAAGUUGAUGGUGCAAGGAUACUCUGGUCAUCGGAGAUAUAAAGGCGGUAUUGAUGUAGUUCGUAAAGUUAUUCAGAGUGAUGGAAUCCGAGGAUUAUAUAAAGGAUUUGGCCUUUCAGUAAUGACUUAUGCUCCAUCUAGUGCUGUGUGGUGGGCUAGCUAUGGAUCAAGCCAACGCAUCAUAUGGAGGUGAACCAUGUUUCUAUAGGUUUCAUUAUACCUUAAAGACAUUUGUUUUAAUGUCUUGUUUGAAUUUUGAAAUUUUUUUGGUAUUAUGGCUAUCAGUUUUAUGCUGUGUAAUAUCAAAUUCAGGUUUGGUUAUCAAGUAUGAUAUUUUCUUGUCUUUUGAAAGUGGUAUGAUCUCUCUCUUGCUUUGAGGAUGUUCUCGGUAAGUUAUUCCCAACUGCAGUGCUAAAGACCAAUCUGAGUGUGUGAUUUUUAGUUCCCAGUCCCUUCUCCAUCUCGGGCUUCUUUGUGGAUGAUUGAAGUUUUAGUGGUUAUUCGAAUGGAAUAAUUAGCAAACAUUUUACUCAUGGAGUUAGUUCAUUGCAUGAAUUAUUUGUGAACAUCAUGCUAAUUGUUCCAAGCAGGUAUCUAGGACAUGGGGCUGAUUCGGCGCCUGAUGCCCCUAGUGAGACGAAGAUAGUCCUAGUUCAAGCUGCUGGAGGGAUUAUUGCAGGAGCAACUGCUUCCUGCAUCACAACCCCAUUGGACACUAUAAAGACGCGUUUGCAGGUAUAGUUAAACCCUCUAAUUGCACUGUUCUGGUUCGCCUUCCAUUCUCCUGUAGCAAUUCAUUUGUACUUUUAUGCAAAGAACUUACUGGAUGGGAUUUUCAAAGACUAAGAUAUGAUAUAUUGAGCGUGUAAGUACAAAUGAGUUCUGAAAGUUACAUAAUUUAUGCAUGAGAUGAUGUUUUGCAACAGUGAGGUGGAAUAAAUGGUUCUAUUUUGAUUGUAAAACUGGAGUAUCCUGCAUUUUACUUGGCUGGAUUAUGGAAAUCUGACAUUUCAGUAAGCCAAAACCAACAGUUUGGCAUCAAUCUCUUUUACAAGUAGUUUUAGCAGCUCAGGCUGUAAUAUCCUAGCGAACUAAAUUUAUAUCUUGUUCAAAAAUCUUAUCCAGGAGUCCGUAAUGACCAAAGGGCGUAAAGCACCUAGCUUGAUGAUUUCUGUGUUUGUGUUCAUCGAUUCAUUAUCAAUGUAAUCACUCUCCUUUUUCCCAAUGUGCAGGUGAUGGGGCAUGAAAGGGAAAGCUCAGCGAGACAGGUUGUUAAAAACUUGUUAAGGGAUGAUGGCUGGGCUGGUUUAUACAAGGGAUUAGGUCCACGAUUUUUCAGCAUGUCAGCAUGGGGAACUUCUAUGAUAUUAUCAUAUGAAUAUUUGAGUAUGUACUUUUCUUCACUUAUUUGCUCUUUCGCCAUAGGGUAUUGCAUUAUGAUUUUCUACUCAGAAAAUCAUUCCUUUUGUGAAUCGUGAAUAUGAUCAGCUGAGAAGUAACUUAUCCAUGGAUGGUCUGCACAUGCUGGAUUGGAAUUCCUGUGAAUAUAACAGUAUACUAUCUUCCUCCAUUGCAGAACGCUUGUGCGCAAUAGACGAUUAGGCACUCUGUGCACUCUGACAGAUCCGCCAGUGUUGGCCAUCAUCUGGCUGAAGGAAAUGACGGAUCAUAAUCUGGAAUUUCCUACUCUUCCCUUUUCAUAACUGUUAUGCAUGAGAAUAUUGUUGUUGCAGUGAAGGCAAGUGGGGAAGUGAGGAGCUAUAUCUUGACUGGUUGCCGAUGUUGGGAAAGUUAAGCCAGAUGGAUUUGUAUGACAUUCUUUGAUACACAAUGGGGGGUGGAGAGGGUCAUUCUAUUCAUUCUCCCUACUGGUGAAAGAAAUUUGUAACAGGCUGCAUUGAGUUCCUUCUGGGAACCAAUUUGUUGUGUCUGUUCAUCUGAUGAGUAGCUAUGUAGUCUGAUAUAUAUUCUUUAAUAGUAAUAAUGGGGAAGAUGAGCAGUGAGAAGUUGACAUGGUCAACCGAUUCGCCAUUAAUUUCACGUUGUAAUAAAGCUGGUUUCCUGCUGUACAUUAAGCAUUGGCUGCAUAUCCUUUCCACUCGAGUAGGGUAGGGGAGGCAAACUGACAAUUAUUCAUGUCGAUUCAAGUCCGACUAACUACAUGUGCGACGCAGAUUUUAGGUCGAAUUGGGUCUCCUAAAGAUCAAAAGUACAAUAGGCAAAAAUAUAAGUCACCCGCAAUCUUGUGAAUCGAGCACCUCAACUUGAAAGUUGAUUCUCUCAAAGACCAAAAAGAUAGUGGGCAAGAGUUGGCCAUCUAACGGCUUAAAGAAUUUAUAAUCAAUUAUAUGACAUUAUCAUUGAUUAUUGAAAAAAUACUCUGAUAUUUUAUUUGUACCGGUACCCUCUGUAAUGUGGAAUCAUAUUAUUGAUUGUUCAAAUCAAUUCCAAAUAUUAUACUUCAACAACCCCAAUUUAGGAUGCAAUACAAUAAUAUGUAUGUUUAAAUCAAUUCCGGUGAAAAUCAUCGGGUUUCAAUCAAAGAUUACGUAUGUUUGAUCCAUCGAGACUCGAAAUCCAUUGAAAAGCUCAAUGGCAGAGUCAAGAUGUCACUCGACAAAACCCAUAUGGGAUAUAAAGUGGUGAAGUAAUACAAUCUAACAUCACGCUAUAUGUAACGGUACUCUAUAACUUAAAAUAUUAUGAAACAAUCUAAAGAUGAAUUUGAAUAUUGGAAAACAUGCUCCUGAUCUGUACGGCUAAUGCAAGAAAUAACAAUUACCUCACUAAUUCAGUCUUUUUAAUGGGUAAUAAAAAACGAAAUUCCAAAUUGUUUCACAUGCAUCAAACUUCCUUCACGAACGUCCUCUUAUUANNNNNNNNNNNNNNNNNNNNNACUGCCUCUUUACCUUUCAUCUUCUAUUAUCCCAUCAUCUUCGAUGCAUUCCACUUCUUUUAAUAAUAUAGUCACUUCAAUUAUAUAAAAAAAAUACUAAAUACGAGUUAAAAACAAUGUUAGUAUCCUUUAAUUUGUAUCGAAUAAUACAAACUACUAGUCCCUUCGUUAAUAACUAUCAAGAGCUAGCAAAUCAUUAACUACCCUAAAAUCUAAACAGUAAUGUACUUUAGGACAUAAGUUUUGAGGCAAAUUACAUAAAUCUUAAGAAAAACACGGUAGCUCAUUUGUUAAUUUGGUUUCGAACUCAUAUUCAAGUUAAGAUAAUAUGUAGAUUUUGUCUUCUAACAUAGUUAUCUAAUUGCUCGGAUUAGUUAGGAUUAACUAAAUAAGUCAAAGGGCUUCCCCAUAAUAUUAUAUAACGUUAUUUACUACCAAAACCAAAAGUAAAGCGGAAUCGAAAUUCAAUAAUGACAUAAACGCGAUGAAAUAUAAAUCAAUUUGGAAAGAUUUGACAAUUUGGUUCGUGGUUUACAUAAAUAAGAUACCAAAUUGAGCGGAUUGGUUUUCUGACCAAAUUAUCAAUAAUGUAUGCUCCCAAAAACCAGCCAAUCCACAAAACUAAUUAUGGUUCAUGAUUUGAGUCUUAGCAAUCGACUAGGUUGCGAAGAAGGAAAUCAGGAUGGUGAUGGGCUUGAAGUAAAGAAUUAUGGUGUAGAAAACUACGACGAAUGGGGAAAGCCACUUCUACGAUUAAGAUUUUUCAAUUUUGAGAUUAUUCUAUUUUAAGUUUUGAGAGGAAGUGCUGGAGAAGGAGAGAGAGAUCAUUCCGUCGUCGUUCCUGGAAAAAUUGGGUCAUAUUUAAUUGCUCACAAUGACUAUUUGUAUAUUUAAUUUGCGGUGGCCAAUUAUAAUAUAAUACAUGGCAUGGGUAUCAGAAUACUCACAUAUAUCGAAAUUUUUUUCAUAUAUAUGGCUCAAUAAUAAUUAAGAAUGACAGGUUAUUGAAAUUGUUAAACUCUAAACUUAUAGCAUUUAUUAAAAGAUCAAAAUGCCCCGGANNNNNNNNNNNNNNNNNNNNNNNNNNNNNNNNNNNNNNNNNNNNNNNNNNNNNNNNNNNNNNNNNNNNNNNNNNNNNNNNNNNNNNNNNNNNNNNNNNNNNNNNNNNNNNNNNNNNNNNNNUCAUGUGAUGUGUUAGACUAGACUUAAUGGUCGGUUACUUAUAUUUUAAAUAGGUGAUAAGUUACGGGUUUGUCAAGUUACAAAUUAUUUGGGUCCCAAGAUCAUUGGAUGACAAAUUCAUCGACCUCAAAGUUUUUCAAGUUUUAGUUUAUCAGAUUGUGGAACUAUAAGGUCUUGGGCUAAGUUUGACACGAGUUACCCACCGUCUCUCAAUAAAUUUCCAUAAAGUUUGAAUUUAUGGAGGAGUGACAACUAAUUCUUUUAAACAAUACUUUUCUAAACUAAAAAAUAUUAUAUUAUGAAAUUAACUAUUCGAGUUCGCAAACCUUAUUCUACCAACUCGGCAAACCUUAUUUUGGGUACUUAAACCUAUUAAACGAUAAUACUGACAGGUCACAAUGGAGAAGGCUCUAUUUGGGUAUUUCCAUCACUGCCCAUAAAAAUUGUCGAUUAGAAUAAAGUUAAACUGGGAAGAUCCCGACCCCGUGUACUAUACAUACAUACAUACAGGGUGAAACAAAACAACAAAUGAAUGAAUGAAUUGACUGCUUCUCUAUGAGUAUGAGUGACUGUGAGUUAGUCGAAUAAACAAAUAAAUGAGAGGGGACAGGUACAGCUACUCAACAAGGAAGAAAAUAAGGAAGGAAGGAAGAUGAUGUCGUCUCCGUCAUCGUCGUCGUAUAGAGCGGGAGGAGGAAUUGGAAUUGGAUCCACAACCCAUCAUCUUCUCCAUCUUCAUGCAGCUUCUUCUCCUUACUUUUCUCUCCUCUUUCCCCCUUUGACUUCCCGCAGAAAGUCCAAAUUCAAAUCACCUUCUUAUUCUUCAUCACUGCGAUCAGUCAAACCCGCAACAUCCCCCCUCCUCUUUCCUCCUACUCCUUCUCAUCCGAUGUCCUCCUUCAAAACCACCACCAAUCAUCUCCGCCACGUCGAGUCCAUGAACCUUCUUCCUUCCGGCGCUGGUAAGAUUCCUCGUCUCAACGCCGUCAUUUUAGGCGAAUCUCUUGCUUCCGAGGAGGAUGAUCUCGUCUUCCCUAGCGAUCACUUCUCCCGUCACGCCCUCGUUUCUUCCCCGCACAAGGUUCUUUUUAUUUACGAGAUUCGAUAUUGCUGAAUAGUACUUGGUGAAUCAAUUUACUUAUGAUUGGUUGAUUGGCUGGUUUCAGUACUUGGAAAUGUAUAAAAGGUCCGUGGAAGAUCCUGCUGGAUUUUGGUCCGACAUUGCUUCUCAAUUCUUCUGGAAAACCAAGUGGGGAGAUACUGUCUGCUCUGAGAACUUCGACGUCCGCGCUGGCAAUGUCUUUAUCCAGGUUCCCUUUUCUUUCUUUUCCUUCAUUUAUCCCUUUCAUCUCAUUCGUAUACAUUGUAUCUUCCAAUUUCAAAUAGCUGAAGAGACGAAAUACUCAUAUGACUGCUCUGUUUCGUUUGCUAUUGAAUUUAUCUCUUUGAUUACGAUUUUGUUGUGCAGUGGUUUAAAGGUGGGAUCACCAACAUUUGCUACAACUGCGUAGAUAGAAAUGUAGAGUCUGGCAACGGUGAUAAGAUUGCUAUGUACUGGGAAGGCAACGAGCGGGGUACUCAGGACUCUCUUACCUACUCCCAGCUUCUUCACAAAGUUUGCCAGGUCUUACUUACUUCCACUCCCUUCCCAUUUAGGCUUACAAUUGAUCAUUACAGGUGAAAUCGGGUGUUCUUUUGAUUUCUCUAUUUGCCAAAAUUUCAUGCUCAGUUGAAUCUUUUCCGUUGCAGCUAGCCAACUACUUGAGAGAUAUAGGAGUCAAAAAGGGUGAUGCAGUGGUCAUUUAUCUACCCAUGCUUAUGGAACUUCCCAUUGCUAUGCUCGCAUGCGCUCGCAUUGGUGCAGUUCACUCGGUAGCGAUCCACCAGCUUUUUUACUAAUCUUUGGUUCUAUUCAUCCAGUUCAAGUCUCUUACCGUUAAUUCUGCACCAGGUUGUCUUUGCUGGGUUCUCUUCAGAUUCUCUUGCUCAAAGAAUCAUGGAUAGCAGACCAAAAGCUGUUAUUACCUGCAAUGCAGUCAAGAGAGGUUCCAAGGUUAUCCAACUCAAAGACAUAGUUGAUGCAGCCCUUACUGACUCUGCUAAAAAUGGCUUCUCAGUUGGUAGGUCAUGUCUACAAACACUAUUUGGAAUUGACAUUUUAUCAUCAUUCUCAAUAUGUAUACGGUAUACCAGAUUGUUGGUUAUGAUGAAAUGAUUAUUUUCUAAUAUCACUUGUGAAAUAUGAUAUGUCAAUAGUCAACAGAUAUGAAUAAGAGAAAAAUAGAGUAAAGGUGUAAGUUGGUGUGCUGCUACUAUUACAGUUUUCAGAAACCUCACACACUUCAAAAGAGAUGCCUGGUACUUCUGUUUGUUAUAUCAUAAAGUUCAGUUCAACGAGUGAGCAUGCUCUCUGUUUCUCUGUUUUUGUUUUCUGCAGAUGCUUGCUUAACUUAUGAAAACGAGUCUGCAAUGAAGAGGGAAAACACGAAAUGGAAGGAGGGAAGAGACAUAUGGUGGCAAGUAAGUAGAUUACUUCUCCUUUCGUGUGCUUGCUUCCACUUUAUAAGCCAACAAGAUACGAUUGUUAUGUUCAGAUGCAGAUAACUUUCUACUUACAAAUUUGCAACAAUGAUAUCAAUGCAUAACGGAUUUAUCAUCUAUUUGUGUGCAAUCUGAUUGAAAUUCUGCUUUGUGGUAUAUUUUAUAAAUUUUCCUAAUAUGAUUAUGCUCCCAAAGUUUGACCAAAAAGUACCCGUCUCCUCCCAGGAUGUUGUUCCAAAAUACUCAACAAGUUGUGAGGUGGAAUGGGUUGAUGCAGAGGAUCCCCUUUUCCUGUUGUACACUAGUGGGAGCACCGGAAAACCCAAGGUACUUGAAAACUCUGUUUUUAAGCCAGCACGUAUUUUUCUUUUGAUAUUUGCCAGUUGUCUGACUUGUAAAUUUUCUAAGGGUGUUCUACAUACAACUGGAGGAUAUAUGGUUUACACUGCUACGACCUUCAAGUAUGCUUUUGAUUAUAAACCUUCCGACAUCUACUGGUACUCAGAGCUUCUACUUCAUUCUUGGCAUUUCCUCUUUUCUAAAGUUAUCAUGUGCUCAUAAAUGGCGGAGAUUUUAUCGAAGUGCUCUUUAAUAAUAGGUGCACUGCUGAUUGUGGAUGGAUCACCGGCCACAGCUAUGUGACUUAUGGACCUUUGCUUAAUGGAGCUAGCGUUGUAAUUUAUGAAGGGGUAAUACUCCAAUUCUGUUUGUUUUUAGACAUUAUAUCACCAAACUAAUCAUAUUAUCCAGUUGUGUCGCUCCACAUGCACACAUUUUGAGCUCCAUGUCAUUCUGAAUGCAAUUAAAUAUAUUAUAUCAUCAUGCAUUAUAUUGUUUUAACUUCAUCUGUUUUAGGAGGUUAGAAGUUAUCUACUGGACAAAAUGUUAUUUACUAAGAUACAUACUGAAUGGAGAGGCGAAAUGUGGAUGGUUUACUGAUGAAACACAUCUGUGCUCAUCAUGUAAUGGUUCCAUCUCGAUAGGGUACUUCUGGUAACAUUUCUUGCUAAAUCCAUGAUUUGGUAGGGGUCACAUACACGAUACAGUUGUUUUCUCUGAUAAUCAAGUACUUUCUUGAUGUAAUGAAUAUCCUGAGAAUUGGAGUUUGUGGGUAUAAAUAUUUUUUCCCUGCAGGCACCAAAUUAUCCUGAUGCUGGUCGCUGUUGGGAUAUAGUCGACAAAUUUAAAGUGACAAUAUUCUACACUGCCCCAACAUUGGUGCGGUCCCUUAUGCGUGAUGGUGAUGAUGUAAGAUACCGUCUUAUGUUACAUGUAGAUGCAUUUGUAUUACUACUUGCCCCAAUAAGACUGUUUCAGUUCUCUUUGUCCAUCUGUAGACUUAAUCAGUGCAUUAGAUAUAUGUCUUAUGUUUCAGUAUCGUCCCUUUUCAUUCAUUACCUUGAGCAUGCGAUUGUUAUUUGAAUUAUUCUGGUCUGAAAAUUUCAUGCAUUGUGAAUUUCAUUGUAAAAUCCUUUUCUACCCAGCUAUCUUUUCAGCUUUCAGAAUUAUGAUUCUGUGAUCUUUAUAAGCUGAUGUUAUACAUAACUAAAGAAGCUAUUGUCAGAUAAACUUUGUGAAUAGCAGAUUGAUAUCACACUAUUACUUUUAUUGCAGUAUGUCACUCGCUAUUCCCGCAAGUCCUUACGAGUCCUUGGAAGUGUAGGCGAGCCUAUUAAUCCGAGUGCAUGGAGGUUCUCAUCUUCUUGGAAGCAUUAUCACCCUAAAUUUCUUUUUUUGGCGAGUCUGACCAAAAUGCUUUUUUGCAGGUGGUUCUUCAAUGUAAUAGGAGAUUCGAGGUGCCCGAUAUCUGACACUUGGUGGCAGACUGAAACUGGAGGCUUCAUGGUAUUCUAGAUUAGUUUAUAUUACUUUGGUGAACUGUAUAACUUUUUUGCCUUCAACUCAUCCACAUUUUUUUGAAUACUUGUCAGAUCACCCCUUUACCGGGUGCCUGGCCGCAAAAGCCUGGUUCUGCUACUUUCCCUUUCUUUGGUGUUCAGGUACGUUGAUUUGAUCAGAGUGUCCUUGUUAGUUUCUUUUCUGUAUUUGUGCAUUACCUAACUUUUCAUCAAUUCAUCUUUGGCUGGUCGGACUUCAGCCUGUAAUAGUGGAUGAAAAGGGUGUUGAGAUAGAAGGAGAGUGCAGUGGGUAUCUUUGCGUGAAAAGCUCAUGGCCUGGGGCAUUUCGAACUCUUUAUGGAGACCAUGAGAGAUAUGAAACCACGUACUUUAAGCCAUUCCCUGGUUAUUAUUUUAGUGGUGAUGGCUGCAGCAGGUACGUGUUAUAAGCAUCAAAAUUGUCUCUUAAUCUUCAUUUUGAGUCUACAUGCCGCAGUUGUCUGGAACAAAGGCUACAGGAUCAACGAUUAGGUCUUGUGUUUCAGGGACAAGGAUGGGUACUACUGGCUUACUGGAAGAGUUGAUGAUGUCAUCAAUGUCAGGUGAAAUUAAAUAUCAUAAAACAUUUUCCUAAUUAUAUCUCCUUUUGUUGAGAUUUGCGAGUAAGGUUCAUGCAAAACAAUGGUGAAACAAGAUAAUAGGGAAAAAUCACUAACAGAUAUUUUGGAGAAAGGCAUUGUUCUAUAGACUUAUCGCAUUCAUUCUGUGCAUCUGUCUUUCUAGCAUGUGAUGAAUCUGAUAUCACUGCGUCUAAUGUUUUCGAUCUUGAUCUGUGGAUCGACUUUCUUCUCCAACUUCAGAGUGAUGCUUCCAUAGUUUCAUAUUUUUUUAUAAGUGUGUGAUGCUUUGAUGUGAUGCAGUGGACACCGUAUAGGGACAGCGGAAGUGGAAUCUGCUCUCGUUUCUCACCCUCAAUGUGCAGAAGCUGCUGUGGUUGGCAUUGAGCAUGAGGUACGUUUGUGGUAAAGGCCUGAUUAGAAGUAACACGAAGAUUUGAUGUCUUUUAUCUGAAAAACCUCCACCGUUUAUUGACUGGUAGGUUAAGGGGCAGGGGAUAUAUGCAUUUGUCACCCUUGUAGAUGGUGUUCCAUACAGUGAAGGGCUCCGAAAAGACCUAAUAACUGCCGUACGGAAACAGGUACAGCUCAAUCCACCACCUAAUUUGAUGGCAGCCUUAAUUAAUUGAUCAUUUCCUUAGAACCAUCAAACUCGAGUAUCUUCUUUCACAAUGCGUACUUCACAGAUAACCUUAGAACCAUUAAUGAAGACUUAGGGUAGUUAGUCACUGAUGUGGAUGUCUGCAAGUGCGUUUUUAGAAUUUGUUGGAAAGAAAUUACUUGAGGGAAUCCUUAAGUUAAAUAGUUGAUGAUUUAUUUCUCAGCACUUGUCUGACAUCAUGAUUUAUAAUGUCGCAAAUCUUGCAGAUAGGACCGUUUGCAGCACCUGACAGGAUACACUGGGCACCUGGCCUACCGAAGACGAGAAGUGGUAAGAUAAUGAGAAGGGUUCUCAGAAAGAUUGCGUCCAGGCAAUUGGAUGAGCUUGGAGACACGAGCACGCUGGCAGAUCCCGGUGUAGUCGACCAGCUUAUAGCUCUUGCUGAUAGCUGAUGUGCCCUGUGAGAUUAAUUUGUUUUCGAGUCUGAUUGCGGCUAUUUGUUCUUGGUGAAAAUAAUGAUGGGAGGUACCUUCUGGAUAUUGGCUCUUCUCGGGAGACAUGGAAGUCAUUCAGUGUCAAAGGUGUAGAGGACAUAGAAAUAUGGAAAGAUGACCGUGGUAUAUGCUAGUUCGUCCGCUAUCCUUUUAUCAGGGUUGUCGCUGAUGUCACGGAAUAUGGACAACUAGUUUCAUUACUGAGUUUCAGAAACUGAACUUCUACUCUCUUAAAUCAACGGUCUAUCCAGAAUUUGAUUCGGGAAAUCAACCAAUCUCAACUUUUAUUUUUCUUGAACAAGCAACAGCUGAAGGAUCAGAUUCCAAAACAGAUUAAAAACGCAACGCUUAGUGCCUUUGUAUAAUUAAUUUCAUCUGGCAAUUUUUACCAACAGCAAUGCUUUAGGCUGUUGCAUUAACAUUAACUCAUGUACAAGGAUAGGCAAAAGUAAUCCCCGAACAACCUUAGAGCAGAAAAGGUGAACAUUACAAAUUGCCAAUAGCUUUCACGAGAAACUAACAGAUAACAAAUGAGCAGCAGUUCUUGAAGUCUGAAGUUGGUAUAGUUCAACUGGGGUAGUGGACUGUGACAGCAGCAUCACUGUGACAUCUGCAUCUGAGUGCUAACUUCUCCUGUUGCUUGAAGAAUUUCGGUAGAAUGAGCCAAAACUAUGAAACAAUUGAAUUCCUGGAAGCCCUUCCACAACCUAAUAGCAAAGGAACCUUCUGCUGCAGGGGAUUAAUGGAGGAAAAUAGUAGCAAGGUUUCCAUUUGUGAGUGCUGGUUGUUGUAAAGACGAUCUUCACACUCAACAGUCAACUCAGAAAGAGCAUACUAAACUGCACAUAAAUCUUCAUGUGUCGGUAAUUAUCUGGAAGUUAAUCUGUAAUGUUUCAUUAUUCACUCAAAAACAUCCACGAGCAGAGAACACAGGAGUAGAAGCAGCAAACUUAAGAUAGAUCAUACACAGUGAAGACUACCGACGUACAAACUAAAGCUGAGCAUUUAGAAGUGCCGAAGUUUAAGCACGAGUUAGUAUUAAAAACAACAUAACUAAUAAGAAAGUUUCCCCCUUCAAAACAAGGAAAGAAAAAGGGAACACAAAGAAAAAUCCUACCCAGGAGGUUGAAAUGGCAAGCCACAGAUUCCAGCAGUUGGGGACGAAGAAGAAAUGAAGAAAGAUUGUCAGAAAUUGUAAAGCUGUCAGACCCUGAGAAUCUGGAGCUUUGUAGAGAAGGCAAUAGCAACCCAAUCAGGCUGGGAAGCUGACCACUGAAGUUGCUCAAUUUCAGCACCAGCAGUGUAAGCAAGAAUUGGAUCAAGCCCUCCGUCAACAGGCUGUCCCAUGGAGGAGAGAUCCCAUAUCAAGGCCUGAGAAUCGUCUCCAGCAGUGCAAAUGUGGCAAGAGCUAUGAGGCGCCCAAGCAAUGGAGUUAACGCUGGCAUGGUGCCUCUGCAACUCAACCACAGGGAGUGUAGGGAAGCGGAUAUCAAGGACAACAACUUUGGCACUGUCCAUUAUGAUAGUCGCCAUAUACCUAGGGUCCUGCUUGUUCCAUCCAAGGCGGACCAAAGGAGUAUCAGGCUCAGAGCUCUCGUAGAUGAUAGUCGAAUGCUCCUUAUCCCUCAAAUCAAAAACCCUAACCGAGCCAUCAGCCGAUACAGAGGCGAAAACUCCAACUCCGCCCCAAGCGAUGUCGUAGACCUCCUUAUCGUGAGCAAUUAGCUGCGUAUCGACGGCCUCCCGCUCGAUGUCCCAAAUCGUACAGGUGGUGUCGAUGCUAGAGGUGCCGAUUCGCUUAGGAUCGGCGUCGUUCCAGUCAAAGGAGGUGAGCGGGCCGCAGAACUCGCUGUUCUUGUUGCCGUUGAGGAGGCUCUUGAGCUCGACGCGAUCUUCGGAGAUGAGCCAGAGGCGGAGGAAGUCGCUGGAAGUGGCGAGGAGGUCAGGCUUCUGGGAGUCCUUGUCCGGAAUGAACAUGGUCUUGGUAGGAGGGAAAGGAUGCUCGAAGGAGAGGUUAAGGUCGGAGCGGAUCUCGCCGUUGGAAUCGUCGAGCUGGACGAUCUCGACUCGGUUGUGGUACUGCUCGAGGAGGCUGGAUAUGGCGAGUCGGUACUUCUUGUCGCGGCGGACGCUCCAGUUCAUGGCGUAGAUGUGCCAUGGGGCCUCGUAGGUGUAGAUCUCGGAACGCUUCUGCUCGUCGGAGCCGCCGUCUUGGUUCUGAUUAGGGUCGCUGGUCGCCCCCAUUGUCUCUCUGUCUCUCUCUACCAGAGGGAAAAGUGAGUUAAGUAAGAAUGGUGGAAAUUUAGUGUUAUUAAGAAGGAUGAGAAAUCAAUAUGUUUGGAUUAUUAUGACGACGGCUGGAUGGGAUAGCUUACCUAUCUCAUCUUCUCCACUCCUUUUUGUAAAAUAAUUAUCCUUUUUCUUCCAAUCAGUACCUGCUCGGUGGGUAAUACUCAGACUCGAAUGAUUCGGUUAGUUUGGAGAUGACGAAAGGUUUACUCUUAUCAUUUGAAAUAACGGACGACUUUUCUACUUUAGUUUUAGUGUUAAUUUGAUGAUGUGUUUGAUCACAUCGAGAGGAUCUCUAAUAUAGCUUGAUGGACAAUGUAUGUGAGAGUAGAAGUUCAGUCCGACUUCUGUUAUAGUAUUGGUCUUUUUUGCCCCAACGGAUCUCUAAAAUUGUGUUAUGGUUGUAUAGUUUUAGGAUGUUGUUAAAUAAGACGUGGGAGAUCGAGCAAAUUUAUGUUUAUCGUGAAGAUAAUCAUGUCACUGAAUAUCUAGUUAAUAUUGGCUAUGAAAUUUAUUUAGAUUUGUAUGGCGUUCCUAUCUCUUAUCCAUUAUUGGUAAUCUACUUGGUGUUUUUGAGAUUUGUUUGAUUAUGAGUGAAGGGUAGAAGAAAGGUUACACGGCCUCAUGGUUGCUUGCACCUCUCUGUCUCCCUUCUUUUAUCUGCUGAGCAUUCCCAGUAUAUUGUGAAUAUGAUGUUAAUUUGGUUAUCUGUUCAUGUUUAAAUCCACAAAAUUUUAGAAUCUGAUUAAUAAGGAAAAGGUAAAAGUUAGAACUUGGAAAAGUAUGAGCUCGGUUGAUGCGAGUAAGCUGCUGCAUGUUAUUGUCUUAUCUAGAGUUACCUUCCAGUGAGAAACAACAAGACAAUAUAAUAACUAGAAAUUGCACAUCACUGCAUCAGUCUGUUCAGCCAAUGUCCGUCCAUACACCAGAAUUUUGUUCUGUGUUCCAAUAACCAAUGAAGUUUCCCUAGAACAGCGAAAGAAGCCGUCCUGACUGUUAAUAAACUAGCUAACUUCUUGCAACCAAUACACACGAUAAUCAUGGAUCAUUAAGCAGCUUCCAUCAUCCACAGCCACAAGCCUCAGCUGCACAUAGCCUUCUCCAACAACUCCUGCAGUUCACCGCUCUUGUAUGCAUCUGCAACAGUAAAACUAAUGUCAUGAGAACAAAAAUAUGAAAACGUAAGAUAUCUACUCUUCUGCAAACACAGUUGGCUUCAGGGUGCCAUAAGGUGGCAGACCGAUGCUUGCUUUCUUUUACCAGCAGCAUGCAUUAUACGAUGUUCAAGAAGCCGUAAGGCGUAAAUAAGGCGUUGAGGUUUUGCCUUACGCCUUGGAUGAUUAGGCGUUGUCUAAGCGCGAUUAGGCGUUUAGAAAAAAAUGCAUUAAAUUUUAGGUUUAGUGUGCAAGACCAACAUAACUGUUCAUAAGUUCACAGAAUUGUAGUUAUGUAACUAACAAAGUUCAAGAAGGUCGAUGUUCAAGUUCUCAUAUAUAAGAAAACAAACAUAACAAACUGAUAAGAUAAGCCAUAAAGACGAUGUCAAACUCGUAGGUUCCUAAGUGAUCACACAAAAUCUUUCAAUUUAGGGUGAAUUAUAUGUUUUUUAUUCUUAGCUUUAACGCCUAAUAGCAGAUUUCGCUGUCUCGGCGUCGCGGAAAUCGAUUCCUCAUCGAUUUCUCGCGAUUCCAUAGUGAUUCCUCGGUCGGCCGCCUAAUUUCAUCGCCUUGCCCGAGGCGAGGCGUUUUGCCGGUGCCUUGGGGGUUUUCCCGCUUAGGCGGACGCCUAAUCGCGCCUUCCAUAACACUAUACCUACCCGAUUACAUAAGCACAAGAGAAGUACCAAGAUAAGCUCUACAUGCUUAAAGGAGCUGUUUCAGAUGAAGGCUCUAUGAAGACCAGGCACAAAGAGGCUCUAUGAAGACCAGGCACAAAGAGGCUCCAUGAACUUCUAUACCGAUACUACUAGACUGCGAGACAAGCAAAAGAAGGCAAUUCUGUGACUACAGAAUGACCAAUCAUUGCCUUCUAAUGAGAGAUGGUAAUCUGAAAACAUUGCCUUCUAACGAGCCUUCCAAAAUAUAUAUCGUCCUAGCUAGGAGACAUUAAGACAUCAGAAAAUACACACUGCAGAUUUGUCCAUGACACUGGGCGUUAUCAGAUACCGGCCCCUGCCCCAUUCCUUAUACUGCAAACAAUGGAAGUUCACGCUCAACCGGGCUACCGCAAUACCUGAUAAUGAAUGAUUCCCAGUUGAAGUUUGUCUCUUCAAAAUGAGCUCUAAACUGGGGUUUUCAUUUUCAGUCACAAAGGAGAUCCUAAGUAGAAACGAAACAUUAUCGUAUCCCUCAUCCAAGUUUUCACCUCAAAUUGGCAUAUCUCGGAAGCUUGGUCGUUAAAGUACAUGGUGUAUACUCACUGUGACUUAAGGUACAUUUUUACUUCAAUAUACACUUAUGUCCACAACACAAUAUCUCCCAUGACAGAUCAUUCAAGAAGUUAAUAGCAUCACAUUGACCCUAACCAGAAGAAUUAGUUUAAUGAAAUGUUUCCACAAGACAUCAUGGAAUUUUAAAGAAAGCGUUAAGCCACAUGUUUGACAGUAGCGGCGAACCCUAGUUCGACCAAGUCUGUAAUGGUUUCAGCAGCAAGAACACGGACUGGGACUGGCUCUCGUAUUCUAACGAACUAACAGAUUAUCUCUUGAAACGGUCAAUAGUUGGGGGUUUAGGAAGAUACGGCCACAAAGAAGAUUUGAACACUUAUUAGUACUAAACUUCUGAGAAAUUAUGAUCUCUAUGGACCCACAAGUCACAACAAGCAAACAAUACAUGUUCAGUGGGAUCAGUAAAACAGAAACAGGAGUAAGGAAAAAACUCGCCUUUCCAAUCACUAAGUUGUGAAUGAAGUUGACUUACCAACAGUAAUAUCACAGCCACCAAAAAAUUCACCGUCGAUAUAGAGCUGAGGGAAAGUUGGCCAACUGGAGUACUCCUUCAACCCUUGACGAAGAAGUUCAUUCUCAAGUAUGUUGAUGGUUUCAAAAGGGACGUUGCAAGCAUUCAGUAUUUGCACCACAGUGUUUGAGAAUCCACACUGAGGGAAAUCUUUGGUUCCCUUCAUAAAGAGAAGGACUUUCUGCGAUGUAACUACUUUAUCUAUCGUGGUUUUCAGCUCCGACGACAACGCUACAGAAUCAAAAAAACAAUGAGAAAGUUCCAUUGCCAACUGGUAAGCAAUUGCAGAUUGUGAUGAAUUUUGGUACAAAUCAAUCCACCCUUGAUCAUCAUUCAUAAAUCAUCACAUUUGAAAAUUGCAGUCAUGGGCGAUUUACCUAGAAAGCGAAAUUCUAGAUGAAAUUAAAGUUGGAGGGGAAAUAAGGAAAGGGAAAGGAUGAAUCUUUACCACAUCUGACGGCAGGGAGGUUGGUCUUCUUGGCUCCCGGUAAACGCUUAUGAACAAAUAGCGAAUUGGUUCGUACGAUUCGCGGGAAUUGAGAGGAAAAUUUAGAUGCAGAGGGAAUGGAAGCUUGAGCUGGGGAGAAGGACGAUGAGGGAGUCAACGAUGGUCGAACAAUCGCCGCCGUCGACGGAGAUGAGAAAACAAUUUGGGAAGCCAUAGUAUUGUUGGUACUUUUUAGUUUAUCAGCUGUCAAAAGUAGAAUGAAAGGUGUUGGAUGUUCUGAAGAGUUAGUGAGCUCGUGGAUUCCUUUCAAGGAAGCAGGUCCUGGCCGGCGGCAAACAUAUUCUGCCCGUUCAUCUUCUAACUUCAAUCCAACGGUUCUUCGUUCCGAUGGGGGCAAUUUUGUCAUACAAAUAACUACAAAUAAGAUUCAUCCUAGAUUACGACGGUGCUGAUGGAUGUAAAUGAGGUUGCGAUCGGAGAAACAAGUAUAAUCGUCAAAUCAAAUCAGUUGGCAAUGGACAAGGCCAGGCAUGCCCGAUAAAUAGUCAAUAAACCUUAUAUAUGAUAUUCAUCUUCAUCUCCUGUAGUUCAGAAUUGUUCUUGAUGAUCUUCAUAUUCAUGCAUUAAAAUUCCAAUCCACAAGAAUCUUUAGAAUUGCAAACCUCUGUUAUCAACGGUUUAAAAUGAAGUACCACAUGCACAAGACCGACUGCAUGUUUUUUGUAAGAAAAACACAAGUAAUAACGUUAGUACGAUCAUUUCUCAAGUUGUUGUUUUGUAUUCAACAAUGUACCGAUUCCUACCCUCACUUUGUUUAAAUACUAUACUCAUUUUUAUAUACUUGUUUGUAUUUGCUAAGUUUCUUAUACGGUAUAUACUAAAGUUUUUCGUGACUAGUUAUUAUUUUGAGUGAUAUCCGUAUACUCAAUUACUUAUUUGUGUUUGUUUCAUCAUGUACUCACUUAUCUUCAUGUACAUGUUCUCGACAAUGAGUUGUUAUCGACAAUAAAUUAUAAAUGAACCCAAAUAAAACUACGAGUUUUCAUAAUUUUUAACGCCCCUUAACUUAAAGCAACAUGGAAAAAAAUACUUGGAAAAAACAAAAUGUAAACCUACCAAAGAAGGGAAUCAGGAAUGUAACGUGACUUAAUAAAAAAAAAGGAAGGAGCAUAUUNNNNNNNNNNNNNNNNNNNNNNNNNNNNNNNNNAAGGAGCAUAUUAUUGUUGAUAAAAGAGCAGUUAUUUUGCUUUCUAAUUUUUAUUUAUUUUUACAAAGAUAGUGAUUUCUAAAGGUGAUAUGACAACAUAAGAAAAGAUAAAUACAUAUUAUAUGGUUAGAUAUAGUAAAAAGUUUAAUAUUUUUGGGUGUAGUAUAGUCGUUAUUGUACAUGUGUGUUUCUACUGGUUUCCUCAUUUCAAUGUAUUGUAGUAAGAAAGGUAAAAAGUAGAAAGUAAACAAGACCGUCAAAAUUAAAUACAAACUUAGAAAAUUACAGCAUGGCCAUUGUUCCAAGUUAAACAUAUAUAGGCACAUAAACUUCCUUUUAUUUUGUCUCCGAAACAAAAAGAAAAAAGAAAAAAGGGGAAAUGAAUGAUCAUCAUAUAGUCUCAUAUGUAUAUAUGAAAGCACAGUUUCGACUGUGUUCGAUCCAAGAGAUUAACAUUCCAAGAUAAAAAGAGUACGUACGUAAGCUAAGUAGCUAGCUAGCUAGCUUGCUUACUCCCAGUUGGCGGCGACGAUGUCAGCAAGGUCAACCACCCUCUGCGAGUACCCCCACUCGUUAUCAUACCACGCGAUCACCUUCACCAUGUCAUCCCCCAUCACCAUCGUCAACGACGAGUCCACCGUCGAUGACACAUCUGUGCACCUGAAAUCCACCGACACCAGCGGCUCAUCGCACACCGACAAUAUCCCCUUGAGCUCGUUGUCCGCGCUCUCCCUGAACGCAGCGUUGACCUCCUCUGCAAACGUCUUCUUCGACACUUGCACCACCAGGUCAACCACCGAGACAUUCGGGGUGGGGACACGGAGGGCAAUGCCGUUGAGCUUGCCCUUCAAGGAUGGGAGCACCAGGGCCACUGCCUUGGCUGCUCCUGUGGACGUAGGGACGAUGUUGAGGGCAGCAGCCCUCGCACGCCUGAGGUCCCUGUGACUGGCAUCUAGGAGACGCUGGUCGCCUGUGUAGGAGUGGGUGGUGGUCAUGGUUCCCUUGAUGAUCCCGAAUUUCUGGUCGAGGACCUUGACGAAGGGGGCCAGGCAGUUGGUCGUGCAGGAUGCGUUGCUGAUGAUGGUGUCGGCGUGGGUGUAACCGUCGGCAUUGACUCCGACGACGUAGGUAGGGAUGUCACCCUUGCCCGGUGCGGUGAUGAGUACCUUCUUGGCUCCGGCGGUGAUGUGUUUUCCAGCUCCUUCUCUGUCCACAAAUACUCCGGUGCCUUCUAUCACUAGGUCUAUCUCCAACUCCCUGCCAGUCAUUUUGAAACCAUCAUUAGUUUUUUUCAAUUAAGGCCUAUAUUAAUGGUAACUAUCUGUCCCACAAGUUGAAAACCUCUUCGAUUUGAAUCAGUUUCACAUCAUUGUUUAUUUAAUAACGAAGAAUUCUUUCAACAAACACUACAUUUAGUGAUGUUAUUGUUUGACAAAUUCAGAAUCUACCAACCAUCAAUCCAAUUACCCAAAUAAGAUCGAUGAUGUCAUAUGAUAUAUAUAAAGCGAAAUGGUUGCACAUUCUUGAUUUUGAGCUCAAGAUCUCUAAACACAAAGUCAAGCAUUACAACGUAUAAUCACUUGAUUACAACUUGUUUGAAAAAUAAGUUUCUCAUCAUUGUUAACGGUUUAGUGGUUAAAAGUUAUUGAUUACUGAAUUUCACUUGGAUGACGGAUGUCACUUACAUUAUCUGUAAUAACCACUGUACAAAUUCGGUCACCAGAUGGGGAUCUGUAGUCGCGGAUAAUAUCCAUCCAAUUAGAUACUACGUGGGAUAUUAUUGUACCUAGUAGUAUCAUGACAUGGGUGGUAAGUGGACCUAACAUCCAAGUCAUUAUACUACAAACAUCUCAAGUACCAUCUGCCUUAGCAACCAAUUCAUUCAAAAUCAGCUCUAAGAAGGAAAAUACACACAAGGCAGGGGAGAUGAGAGGGUAUAUAUAGAUUACUUACUUCCACGGGAGGUCGAGGGGGUUGCGGCUGGAGACGACCUUGAUGACUUUGCCGUCGACGGAAAUGCCGUUGUCGCCGACAGGCUUGACGUCGGCGUCGAAGAUGCCGAGGGUGGAGUCAUACUUAAGGAGGUGGGAAGCCUGCUUGACGCCACCGGUGU
rnacentral:lncRNA from 1 species